AGCCGCCGGCCUUCUUCGCUGCGGCAAAUCUUGCAGGCUUCGCUGGAUCAAUUACUUGAGACCCGACUUAAAGCGUGGUAAUUUUACUGAUGAAGAAGAUGAACUCAUUAUCAAACUCCAUAGCCUCCUUGGUAACAAGUAAGUCUUCGUACGUAUGUCUUUUCUUCAUCAUUCUUAUUAUUAUUUUUCCCCCAAACCUAUAUAUAGAAGAGAAAAAAGUUUCCAGGUUUUAAUAUGGAUGAAUGGGUAUUUUAUUGAUAGGUGGUCAUUGAUAGCCGGGAGGUUACCAGGAAGAACAGACAAUGAGAUAAAGAAUUACUGGAACACACACAUAAGAAGGAAGCUUCUGAACAGAGGGAUUGAUCCUGCGACACACAGGCCACUCAAUGAGCCAGCAGUACCUGUAGCAGCCGCUCAAAGUGCUACUACUGCUGCUCCUGCUGAUGUGGCGGCAGCGGCGGCAGCAGCAGCAACAACAACAACAACAAUAUCAUUUUCGGCAGCAGCUGCAAAGGAGGAUAUAAAACGAGAGAAAAGGACAAUUGGGUUUGUUUGCAAAAAUGAGAAACAGCCGUAUCAUCAUCACAAUCAUCAUCGUCAUCGGCAGCAGCAGCAAGUGAUCGUCAAAGAAGAAGAAGUGACGUGUCCAGACUUGAACCUUGAGCUCAGAAUCAGCCCUCCAUCAUCUGCUGAUCUUCAUCAGCAGCAACCAUUGAUUAAAACUGGAGGAAGAAGCAGCAGCCUUUGUCUCGCUUGCAGCUUGGGAUUACAAAACAGUAAAGGUUGCAGUUGCAAUAAUAACAACAACAAUAAUACUAAUAGUAUGAUCAGCAGCAGUAACACUAGCAGCAGCAGCAGCAGCAGCACUUGCUACGACUUCUUAGGUUUGAAAUCUGGUGUUUUGGAUUACAGAAGCUUGGAGAUGAAAUAAAAUAAUAAUAAUAAAAAUCAUGUAGCUGAAAUUAUUAAUUAAUUAAUAUAUAUAUAUAUUUUACUUUACUUUACUUUACAAUCUUACUCUAAUUAAUUAACUUGUAUGUCUCCUUAUUGGUGUUACUUCAUAGUGUGUAGUUGCAAAUAUUAAUAAUGACUACAGGUGACACCAAUUUUUUUUUUUUUUUUGCAAUAAUUUUCUUUUUCUCCACUGUUGGAAAGAUUUCCUAUUUUUGGAAUUUUCCCCCACUGCUUUAAUUUACAAGAUAAAAGUUGGGGUUUGUCAGAUUCCCACCAGAGAGUUUCAAAGGGGGCCGUGUUAUUAUUAUUAUUAUUAAGAGGAUUGAUUAAUAAUUAAUCUAGCAUUCGAUCUCCAUUUAAAUUAUUAAUUUUGAUGAUUCAUGCAUUCAUCUUUUGUAGACUCCUUUGUCAGCUCUCCGAAGUCUCGGUCCAGAUAUCUAAAAUUAGAAUGAAUCAGUACUCAACUUUUUUUUUUUUUAUAAAGUACUGUACAAAAUAAUGGUAACUCUAUAAUAACCUAUUUGCAUGAAAUAAAAAUACUCCCAAAAUAAAGCAUGCAAUUCUUUAGUUCUUAUUUUUCUAUCUUCAACAUGGACAAAAAAAAAAAAAAGGCUAUUAUUUUGAAUUGGUUUUUAAUUAAUUAUAUAUGUUGAUUCUUUUUCUUUCCAUGUUUUGUGACUUGUAAUAUAUUUUUUUUUCUUUUUUAUGCAUCAUAUUAGUUUAUUGUUUUAGGGUUUGUCCUUUAUGAAGAAAAAAGUUAGAUUUUUCAUGGGGCAAAGGCAAUGGAUAAGCCGCGAGAGGAUGAGAAUUGAUAAUUGAGAAACGAGGAAGGUGAUGUAAAUGAAGUGGUGGGUAACCUAUCUCUUCCACUUGGUCAGUCAAUCAAUCAAAAAGCCAAAAAAAAAGCAAAAAAAAAAAAAACAGAGAGCACAAAUUGAUAUAAAAGGCGUGAAGAAACUAACCGGCUGCCUUAGCUCUAGCUAUUAAGCUAUGGUACCAUCCUUCUACCAACCCAACAUUUAAUGAUCUUUGGCCAUAUGAGCCAACCAACCAACCACGCCAAUAAUUUUAGAUUUUGGGGGAAAUUAAAUGAAAAAAGCCAAAACCCUAACUAAGUUUCUAAGCGUGCGGUAUGUACACAUCACACACUCCUAAUCCCUCCAGUUUCUAAAGCAUUUUGGAUUGGAUUAGGUUGUUUGCUACCAACUUGAGAGGUCGAUUCUCAUCAAUGGCAUCAAUUUGGUAGCAAAGAAACGGUUGGCAUCACCAUCCUCCAUGUCUUUUCACAUGAUACAGAGGGCUUCUAAUUCUCAACUUGCCAUUGAGCAAUUUCUUUUUCUUUUCUUCUUUUCAAAGCAUAUUACAAUUUAGUAACAUAUACUGUCUCUAAAACUUACAUAAUUAUAAUAUAAUUUGAGCGUUUAUCGAAAAUAACUCGAAAACUUAUGUUUCAUGCAAAAUCUAAAGAGAAUGACACUUCACAACCCUUGAGCAAAUUACAAAUAUAUAUACAAUGAAUACAAAUGAGACCUUCACAUUAAAAAUCGACUUUGACAAGCAAAAUGUAAUAAUUUAUAACAUCUCAAGUGUUAUAAAGUUCAUUGAACCCGAAAGGUAGCCGCAAUGUAUCGUACCUACAUGACAUUUACGUUUUUACGAAUUAGGUAACAAUUUUUUAAAGCCGAAUUUGAUGAUAAUUUAAUAAAUAAAAAAAAAUUAGGUAAAAAGUAAGCAUUAUACCGUAUCAAAAGGAAAUCUAUGAAUUUAACCUAACGAAAUCAACACUUACUAAGUGUAAUUAAAUGUUAGUACUCACAAUUUCUAACGAAUCUACCUUGCCAACGUAAAUAGUUGAGUUAUAGUAUAAUAUAUUGGUUCAAAUCACUAAUAAAUUCUAGAAUGUAAUUUUUGUAACAAUGGUUAAAAAUAAAAGCCAAAAAAAAAUAUUAAGAAAAAGAAAAAGGAGGUAGACCCAAUUAAGUCCAAAAUUUCUAACCACUAACAUUAACUCAAGGUCUUGUCAAUGGGGUCGAGUGUUGCAUGGCCUUUCAUUCUGGCUGUCUCCAUGAACCACCAUAUGCUCAUUAUCAUCAUAAAAAUAUAAAAUAAGAUUGGAUGUUAUACCAAACUCUAUAUUAAAAUAAUUUAAGCAUAUCAAUGAAUUGUAGAAUUGAUUAAAACAAUCGAGGAGGGAAUAGUUUCUCACAAUCAUCCAAACAAGAAAGGGAUGAACCCCCAAAAAAAAAAAAAAAACUUUGAAAAGAAAUCUCAAAACAAAAGAUAACCAAUAGCAAAAGGACAUAAAUAGUGGCUGCUUUGGAACAAAGUUCCAAAAUAAAAUGGCCAUUCCCAUACAGAAAAGGUAGUCACUUUUCACCAAUUCACCACUUUCUUUUGCUUUUUCAAAGGUGUUAGGUAGAGGCAUUAGAAACUUCCAUUGGAUUUGGAAUUUUUUUUUUUUUCCACACUUACUUUCCAAGAAAAUUACACAACAAGGCAAGCUGUUUAGUUAUAUUAAUAGUUGCUUCCAUCUUCCAUCAUCCAUCAAUGAGAUAAGAAUUGUUCCUCUACUGCCUUGAUUCUAACUCCUUCAACAUCCACAACCAACGUGUAAUCACAUGCAUUAGCCUUGACGUGGGCCAUUUGAGUUUUCUUCAUGACCCAUGAAUUAAUAUGUUCAAUUGUUAACUAAAUGCCUUGACCUGAUGAAAUAUUUUAUUCAUUUUCAUUAAAGAAUAAGAAAAUUGUUAAUUCUACCACCUUGCUUCACAUGAUUUUCAUAAUAUUUUGAGCUAUAUUUUUUUAUAUAUAUCCUCAAUUAUUUUCAUCAACAAAAUAAGUAAUGGAAGAUGGUAUCACAUGACAUGUGGAUUUUGAACUUUAAUUCAUUGGAUUUACAGUCCAAGAAGAUGGUAGGUGAACCUGAACAUAAACAAUAAAGUUGCGAAUUCCUUUCCAAUAUAAUAUACCAAAAGAACCUGAAAAAGAUUGAAAUAAGUAUUAAUUAUCGAGUUUAACUCUAUUCGUUUCUUGUGUAAAAUUUAAUUUUAUCGUGCAAUUCUUUCAUCAAUGUUUGGGAAAAAUUAUAGAAAUAGCCUAAAAUUAGGAAUAAUUUAAAAAACAAAAAGCUCACAAAUCACUAUAUGUUAGUUUAGUUGCAAAAAAAAAUGAGCGCUUCGGUCAUAAACGAUCUCAAGUAAUAUAUUGUAUUAGACAGGUGAUUAAAAGACAAUCAAUAUGUUGUUGGUUUAUCAUACAAUAUUUUCAAUGCGUCAAAUUAUACAAACGCAUUUAUGUAUGAAAUGUCAAUUUUUUUUUUUAAUACUAAACGAUAGUAUAAAUGGUAGGUGAGACAAAUCGGCCUAUCAUAGGCUAUCUAAGUAGAAUUUUUCAAAAUACUUGAAGGAUAUUUACUCAUUUUUGGCAAAAAAAAAAAGAUUUUCAAGGAAAUAAACAUGCCCGUGAUAUGAAAGUGAGAAUGGGAUGGCAGGGAUGUAAUUAUUUGACAAAAAUGAGGGCAAAUAGAAGGAGGUAGUGAAAACGUCUGUAUCUCACACGCUACCAACUCCACUCUUUUUGGGUGGUAGUUGGCAGCCGUCCGACGUAGGCCUCAUGUGCGCGGUUGCGGCGGUGGGGCCCACGUCCUGUACCUGUCUGAACAGUUGGGCCCCACUUUCCCCCCACCUUGUUAUUAUAAUUUUGAGAUAUCCAAUCCGAAGCCCUCUCUUUUCUCUUUCUUAUCUCCAACUGCAAAGAGAAUCCCCCCACCACCUUCUUCUUCUUCUUCUUUUUUUUAAUUUAAUUUUAUUUUUUUGGAAAGGAAAAGUAAUUUUCACUUCUAUUUUUGGAAAUUUAUUUCACGAGUCAAAUUUAAUUAGAGUAAAUUUCAACGGGUUUAGUUGUUGAUUUAUUUAAUUUAAUAGAUUCAACACUUGAUAGAUAAAUUAAUUUGUGGAAAAAGUAUUUAUAAAGCCCCCCUUUUAUUAUUUGAUGAAAGCAAAAUGGUUAUAAAUUCUUAUCAUAAUUCUUCUAUCAAAAAAUUCUUGAUGAUGAUGUCAUGAACCCACUAGUUGAUUGGUUGCUUCUUGUCCUUUGGAAAAAAAAUUUAUUCCAAAUUGGAAAGUAGUUUGGAUUUCUAAAAUGAAAAUGAGAGGUAUAUAUAAACAGUCCGUCUUCUUCUUUCUAUUAUUAUUAUUAUUAUUAUUUUUAAAAUUUUAAAAGAUAAAGAUUAAUGGAAGUCAAGCACAUGGCUAAUGAUUCAUUGUGCGAAGGCAAUAAUGCAGAAGGAAAGUCAAGCACAUGGCUAAAGUAAGUAUUAACUCUUUCUUCCAAGCCAAGGCUUGAAAAUAAGCUAGAGAAGCCCCUCUCUCUACAUUUCCCUAUCUCAAAGCCUAUGCAUUAUUGGAACAAUGUUAAUGGGAACAUAUCAAAAUUUGAUAUAGAAACUAAAAAAUCAUUUCAUAUUCGAAGUUUAGUAACAACUCAACCCUUACGAAAUGACUUAUGGGUAUAUUAGGUAAGACUGAUUAGGCUGAUUAAGAACGACAAAAGAAAAAAAAAAAAGAUAAUUACAUUAAUUAAUUCUAAGUAUGCUUUUAAAUUUUUUCCACCGAAAAAGAAAAAUUCUACAUAUAUACGUAUGCGAGGGGAAUAGAUGUGCAGUUAUUUAUCACUUGUAAAUAUUUUUCAAAACACACUAUAUAUAAAAGUUUUGUUAAAUUACAAUCAAUAUAACUUACAGCUUUUUAAACAUGACAGUGAAUCUCAUCUCAUUUUCACGUCAUAAACCUUUGCAAGUUUUGCAAAGGUUGUAAGUUACAUUAAUUGUAACUUAGUAAAAUCCUCUCUCUCUCUCUCUCUACACACAUAUAUAUAUAUAUAUAUAUAUAUAUAUAUAUAUAUGCAAGUUUUGCAAAGGUUGUAAGUUACAUUAAUUGUAACUUAGUAAAAUCCUCUCUCUCUCUCUCUCUACACACAUAUAUAUAUAUAUAUAUAUAUAAAUAUAUAUAUAGCAAAAGAGUAGCUGGUGGCAGCGAGUUUGACAAAGUUUGGUGAGAUAUGAACAGGCAUUACACUUACAUGCAUGGAAAAAAAACAUAAUGUCAGUCAUACAUAGUGAUAAAAUUAUAAAUAAAACAGAUACUAAAUGAAGUAGGGCUAGCCUUGGAGGGCAGAGAUAAGCAUCAAGAUUCAAGAACAAAGAAGCAGCAUGCGGAUAAGGUGACUGAAUGACAUUGUGUGGCUGAGACCAAUCAAAGUUGAUCCAGUUAGGUGGGUUUCGAUCGUUUGAUUGAUGUUGAUAGAUUCCAGAGUCACCAUAUUCAUUCAGUCAAGCUUCAAUUCCGUCUCUUUCAGUAUUUCCACAAUUUCUUGUUAAAUUAUUGGACCCCCACCCCCCAAGGCCCUAAUCACUCUCACUUCUGUCAUACAGAAAUUAAUUUAUCUCCCCCCACCUGCCCUACAUCUUCAACCACAUUAUAUUUUUAUUUUAUUUUAUUUCCUUAAGAUACAUGUACGCACGUACGAAUAUUCCUUUUUUUGUUAGUAAAUACUAGCCAGCUAUAGAAAUUCAAAAUUGAAAAAAAAAUUCUCAAUAAUAGAGGUUGAAUAUGAAUUGUGUAUUAAUUUUGAUGACGUUAGGGUUUGAUAAAGUACAUUAUAAAUAAAUCAAAACAUAAUAGCAAUGUAGGCCAUUGGUAUCAGCAUAUACAUUAAAGUAAGAUUACUAAUAAAAUAGGCAGUUGGUAUCAGCAUGUAUUAAUUUAAAGUAAGAUAUAAUUAUUGAUUUUUUCUUAUUAAUAAAAGAAUAAAAUGACCCUGUGUACUUUAAUAACCUGAGCAGCUCAGGGUAUACAAUAUCUAUAUGUAUAAAGAGAGGGGGAAAAAAAAUAGAAAUCUCAACAAUACAGUUGAAAAUACGGAUUAUAUAUAUAUAUAUAUUAAAUUAAGUGACGUUUGCGUUUGGUUAAUACAUGAUAUUUAAAAGAAAAACAAAUAAAAAUUAUAUGUAUAUGUAUGGAUUUGCUUGAUCAACAUAUUAAAAUGAGUGUAUGCACAUUUGUAUUUUCAUAACCCAAGUAGGUAUACCAUUUUUAUAUGUAUAGCAAAAAAAUAAUAAUAAUAGAAAUAUCAACAAUACACGUCGACUAUAUGUAAAUUGCAUUUUUAUAUUAAUUUUGAUGAUGUUAGGGUUUGAUUAUUGCGGUCUAUAAAACAGAUUUAGAAUUAAAUAAUAUAAAGCUUACCGUAUAUCUUAUAUAUUAUAAGUCAAAAUUAUGGGGUUUUUUUUUUCCUUUUAAUUAAUAAAGAAUGAAAAGAGCGUAUGCACACGCAUGUGACUAAAUUUCAUGAUCUAAGCAUAUUAUGAACUCACACCUAAAUGCAACAAUUGAUGUUGAGAUUGAUAAUUACUGAUGAUAGCAACCCUGUGCGUGAUAUUGAAUCUAAACCCUUUGAUGUAGUUGAUUAAUUAUCAUUAAAAUAUAUGAGUCAACUAGAGUGAAACAUAGUGUCACAUUAUGUAGAUAUUUUCAUUUCAUUAUCAAGAGAAAGUUAGUAAGAUUUUUCUUCACCCGCAUUUAAAAUUAAAAAUAAAAAUAUGCAUAUGGACUUCACUCAAAAGUUAAAUAAAAGAAGUAUAACAUACAUCUAGCUAUAUAGAAUACUCCUCAUGUCCUCCACUAAUUAGAACCCUAAUUUAAAUUAUUAAAAAAAAAAAAAAAAAAAAAAAAAAAAAAAAAAAAAAAAAAAAAAAAAAAAAAAAAAAAAAAAAAAAAAAAAAAAAAAAAAAAAAAAAAAAAAAAAAAAAAAAAAAAAAAAAAAAAAAAAAAAAAAAAAAAAAAAAAAAAAAAAAAAAAAAAAAACCUCCCAUCAGUGGAGGCAAUUAAUUAGUGUUUGCAUGCAUAUCGAAAAGUAGGAAAAUUUGGCAAAGUCAAUAAGCUAAUCAUAUCUCCUCUUCGUUUCUAGAAUAUUUUAUAACAAAAAAAAAAAAUUACAAGUAAUGAUGAUGUAGAAGAAGACCUCACAUCGAAUGACUACUUUUGUUCCAAUUUCUAUAUGGGUUCAAAAAGCAACUGAAUAAUGACAAAAUUAAGGUUAUCUUGGAAGAUUGAUCAUGUUUAAAGUAUGUCAAUUACUGGUUAAUAUAUUGCUAUUAAAAAUAUACACGGGCGGGCAUUGCAUUUUCUUUCGAGCUUCGGAAACGAAAUGUUAGAACCUAAGGCUUUAGUGGAGUUUAUGGGUCAGAAAUCGAAAUGAUUUGAUGGCCCAUGGCGAACUGCCAAUUUUUCCAUUUUAAUUAUGUCAAAUCUCAAAUAUGCUUCGAAGAUUAUUUUGGAGAAGGAAUUCUGUAAUAAAAAAAAUUGACGUUCACCAUGAAUAAUAGUGAAUUGGUGCUUGAUAAUGUAAAAAAAUAAAAUAAAAUAAUAAUUAUGUGAUGAUUUUUAGUUUUUACUUCCGAACCAAAAGGACUACUCAAAAGUCUGAAGUACGUGGCAGUGAAAGUCUUGCAUACUGAUACUGAUAAUAUUAUGUAUUGCAUAAUGAUGGUGAGCUGCCACCGCCGCCACCGCAGCUACCAGAAGGCUGUGAGAACCACCAUUCCCAUGAUGCGUCGGCUGGCUCAGGAUCAAGCAAACUCCCCUCUACCCAAUUUGAGCUAUCCAAAUCCAUUAUCAGGGCCUAAAGCUCAUGUUUGCAUGUACAUUUUCUCUUCACUGCCAUUAGGUCUACUAUGUUUAAAUCCAUACAACUAUAGCAUAGCCAAGGGAGUAUUUUGAGUGUAGCUCAGAUAUCUGUGUUUAUUCUGUUGAAAGUGUAAAUCUAUAUAAUUAUAGUGUAGUUGGGGGUUUAUAUAUAUAAUGUGUCAUAGGAGUUUAAAUUUUUUACAGGUAGAGUAUAAAGGAGCUCUCUGAGUAUAGCUCACAAGUCUGAACCCGACUCAUGCAAGAGUGGUAAAGUUCUAUACAAUGACUCAAAACUCAUUCCUUCCAUAGUAGGUAAGAGAGUCUCCAUAGCCUAGGUCAGAAUCAUCCUGACUAAUGAUUUUGUUAUUGGAUUUAUGUAUGUGUGUAUGUAGUAUAGGCAAGGUCCAGGCCCAUGAUGGCUUUCCUUGGUUUUCACUUUCUAAUUCACUACAAAAUGUUCACAUUCUGUAUGGAACAUUAUAACCUUAGGACUCUCUACUAUCCCAAACUUUGUUCUUCAGAGCUAAUCAUAGGAUUCAACAACUCACAUUUGCAACUUUGUAUCCAAAUCCUUCAAUGAGAUACAACAUACAAAUUCAUACGUUUCCACAGUCAUUUAAUCUCAUAAUCAAGGAAUACAUAUAAGCCUACAAUGGUAUGCAAUUUCAGGUUCAAAAGCUAAAAGAAAGACUGGUAAAACUUUUAAUAACAUAGAAGUACAAUUGGCAAAACAAUAGCGUGCCAACUUAAAAGCAGCUUUUUUGUAAGAGAAAUUUGAACACGUCCACAUCCUAAGAAGUCACCGAUUUAUUGAAUCAAUAACUCUAGGUUUCUUUUGGAGGGGCCUUCUUUGCAGCCUCUGCAGCAGCCUUCUCUGCUUCAAUCUCAGAGACAAUGGCAUCGAUUUCUGCCUCUUCAAGUUGCCGGAGACCAUGCUCUCUCGUCAUCACAGCAACUUCAAUGUUCUUGCCUCCACUCUCAACAACCUAAUAGUACAAUCAACAAAUGUCAAAUAUUAUACAGGCGAAAGAGAGAUUAUAGCAGUUUGUACAUUUGAAAAAAAAAAAAACAACCCAACUGCAUGAAACAGCCGAAAGCAAAUCUACCCACUUCCAGCACCACCAACCAAAAUAUUAUUUGUUCCAGACUCAAGUGGCUUCUUCAAUCCCUGAAUAUAGUUGACAAUCAUACUUGCCAAUCCACAUAAGCUGCAAGCCUGGUUACUGAUUCCUGCAUAUUUCUAGGUCAAGACUUUUUUCUUGAUCUUUAGGGUCAGAGACAUCUCUAAGAUGGAAUUUGGCAGGCUAUGCCUCCUUCAAUUUCUUCUUUUCGGUUAGAUUUAUUAAUUGAUUUUCAUGUUCAAUCUUUCUCUUAACAUAGAGUCCUCUUCCACCUAUUACUCCAAUCAUUCAGUUUCCCUAAAAUAUUUAAAUAGAAGCCAAAAUAUAGAAAGGAGAAAAGUUACAUGUGUGAUGUGAAUACCCGCCUCUUUACACUUGAUCAUGUUAUGUAAAGAUGAUGUAUGUGAAAACAAGGAAUGAUGAUGAAAGAGUUCAUCAAACAAAAUACAAGUUAUGAACAAUGAAACAUUCAGUUACAAAUGAAAAUCAUGACAAGAGACCCCAAUAAUUCAGUUACCAGUUAAGCCGGUGUGUCACGAAUAUCUUAAAGGUUCUACAAAUGCUUGGCUUAUCAAACAUCUAACAAGCUGAAAACUUACUUAACAAUAAUCUGAUACCGUAUCCUAUAUCAAAAGCCAAUUUUAUUUAUUACACAAUAUCAAAAUUGAAGUCAAACUACACUGAAAUAUAAAGGCCAAGUAAGUUAGGUUUUGAAAACCCUACUUAAAGAGAAUCUCAUAUUUACUAACACAGAAAAGUGCCAUUAGAUAAGACUAGUUUCAUAUUAGACUUACGAAGCCAAGGUUAGACACAAGCACAUGCGAAAAUUAGCAACUUACUUCAAGCAAAGCACGAAUGGCCAACUUCACAGUUUCUUGCCCAGAGGUUUCUUUAUAAUUUUUCUCCAAGAACUCCCUUAUUGAAUUUGAGUUCCUCCCCGUGGCAUUGGCUUUCCAUGCUGAAAAAGUUCCCGAUGGAUCAGUCUGAUAAAGAGACGGCACACCUGUAUAGGGGUCAAAACCAACAAUCAAGGUCGAAAGACCAAAAGGCCUCACCCCACCACUCUGUGUAUACUUCUGCUGAAGCCCAGCAAUGUACCGCGUUAUAUAUUCAACUGUGACAGGAUCCUCUACAGUAAGCCUAUGACUCUGACAUUCAAUACGCGCUCUGUUAACCAAGACACGUGCAUCCGCUUUCAGACCCGCACAGGCAAGCGCAAUGUGAUUAUCCAAUGACACAAUCUUCCUCACCAUUCUGUAAGCAAAAGCAAUAAUCAAGCAGAAGCUAAGGAGGCACACAAAUUACAAUCUUAUACUGAUUAUUGCCCCAACUAUAAGCUAAUCAGCUAUUUUCAUCAAAACUAAUACUAAAACAAAUCACUAUACAUUCAAAAUCCGAAACUUAACCCUACAGAAUCAAUUCGCGCUCAAAUAUAACCUAAACAUAAUUAAUUACGCGAAUGUAUGUUUUCUACCUGGAGUCUUGGAGCUUGACCGCUGAUUUUUUCUCGACGCCGAGGACGACAAUGUCGGUGCCGCGGACCCCAACGGCGGCGUUUCCUUUACGGACGGCUUCGAGCGCGUAUUCGACUUGGAAUAGAUGGCCGUCCGGAGAAAAGACCGUGAUCGCGCGAUCGUAUCGAGCCAUUUUGUCUUCCUUUUUUCGGUCUCGAGUUUGUUUUUUAUUUGAAUUUGAUUUUGUUUUUUUUUUUGAAAGCCUGCGAUCUGGGGUUUUGAGAAAGAGAGUCUACAAGCAGUUAGUAAAGCUUCUUGGAGGGCAAGCCAACCCAGUGGACUGAUGCAAAAGAAAACCGAUUGGAUACGACACAGUUUUCGCAUGCUGCUUCGUAACGAUGUCGUUUUGUCUAACAUCUCCUUUUUAUUCUUAAUUUUAUCACCCAGGGUCAAUUAUUAUUUAUUAUUUAUAAUUUUUCCGCUCCCUCCUUCCCUCAUUUCUUGCUUAAGAGCAAAAUUUGAUUUACAAGAUUGAUCGCUUAAUUAUUAAUUCAUUAUAACGUAAUUUAAUAUCCAAGAUCAUGUUAUAAACGAGAGAUUUCGAAGUCUUAUGUUUGAAUCCUGAUAUUUAUACAUUAAAGUGUUCUAAAAAUUAAUUUGAUCGCUUAUGUUGAUCUUUUUAUUUGUUGCAUUAAUAAAGUUAAAUAUGUUUCCAGUGUAUUUAUUAUAGAUGUGUGUUAUGAAAUUAAUUAUUUAUUUAUAUAAUUUUAUUCAAUCAUCCGUAUUUAUAUUAUUAUUAUUAUUACUUGUUUUUGUUUAUUUUGUUUAACAUAAAAUUAAUCAUCAAGAAAUUUGAGACCCACCCCUCUGAUGAGCAGAGUUUAAAACCUGUAUGAAUGUACAUUGACAACUCAUGCGCCCAAUAACCUUGGGUGUAUGAGUUCCCUUCUAAUAGAGAUUUAUUUGUCUCUCUGUCUUGGUGUAUAAUAUAUUUCUCUUUAGUAUUAAAUGAGGGUUGUUUUUCGGAUUAUGCAAUACUAGAAUUAUGAAGGAGGGUCCCGAUUAUUUUCUGAUUGUAAAUAUAAUAAAGUUCUUAUUGUAAUAUAUUAAUAUUAAAAAAAAAACCGUAUGAAUACCUUGUCAGGUUGACUAGGUAGAGCAGGCAAAUUUCAGAUUAUUGACCCUUUGCUUUGUAGUUGACUCGGAGUCAACUAAAAUCGAGGCUCCAUUCGGUGACCGAAAAUGAUAAUGGUGUCCCAUUGCACUUUGCAAUUUGCACGUAUUUCAACUGAACUUUUGCUCGAAUGCUUCAGCACUAUUGCAUCCUAUCAAAGCAACAAAUUAAAGGACACUAGAACAAAAAGAAUUAAAAAAAAAAUCAAUAAAUUAUUAGCUCCACUGAUAAUGGAGUCUCUUUAACCUUAAGUGGCUUGAUUGAGUUUGCUCCUCAGUUCGAGUCGUAGGAAAGUCGUCUUUGUUCGGAGAACUUGUGCCUCCCGGUUCGAGCGAGGACUUCUAAUCUGAGUUGUGGUAUAGACUUAGGUAGCGUUUACUUUUUGGAUUGGAUUGGGAAUCCUGAGGAGUGGGAAUUCUAGGAUUGGGAGUGUGGAGUGGGAGUUGGAGUAAGUUGUUUACUUACACUGGAAUUGAAGCAUGGAAUAGAGAUCAGAAUCCAAUAUAUGUGUUUACUUUGUCUUGGAUUGGGAGUAAAUUGUUUCAAAUUACAAUUUUAUCCUUAUUUAAAUAAUUAUAGUUUUUAAUUACAAAACUAAUAAAAAAUAUAUUUAAUGAAUAAUAUUUAUUUUAUUAUAUUUGUAAAUUUAUUAUAAUUAUUAAUAUUCUUAAUUAUGAACAAUAACUGCUGUACGGCCAAGGCGGAUGUACGGUACAGCAGUAGUUUGAGCCCAAAAACUAGCCGUUAUGUGUUUUCAGAUGACAACCGGCUUGCUGCUUUUGGAAUCUGGUUAGCCGCUUUUAUGUUACCGUUACAAUAAAAAUUUGAAUUUCAAAACAUCCGGCAUGCCGCUUACGAUAUCUGGAUAGCCGCUUAUGCUCCAGAAGCUUACUGCCCAAAAUUUGGAUUGCCGCUUACCAUAUCCAGUUAGCCGCUUGCUACAGUGAAAUAUUUUCUAAAAUUAUAGUUUGACCCCAAAACUUUAUAAAACUGUAUUAUGGCCCAAAACGUUAUGAAAGCUUUCAAAGAGGUCUAAUUUUAGAAUUUCUAAAUAAUACUUUGUCAAUCCCAAAAUUUUUGAAAUUAUGAUUUCACCCAAACUAUAUGAAAUUAUAGAAUGACCUAAAAUAUUUAAAUAUUUUUAAAUAGGCCCAAAUCCAAAAUUUUAAAACAAUAUCAAAGGUUUUAAAAUACUUUCAUUUUAGUCCAAAACAUUUUAAUUCCAUAACAUCAUUUUUUUAUUAGCCGUACAGCAGUAUUAUAUAAAAUAAUAAUAUAAUAUUAUUUAGUACAAAAUUAAUAUUUGCUUAGAAUAAACUAUUUAUUAAUAUUAAAUAAAUAUAGUACUAUUAUUUUUAAAAUAAAUAUAAUAUUAUUAUAUUUAUUAAUUCUCAAUUAAUAUAAUAAUAUUAUUUUAAAAUAAUUUUAACUUAGAAUCAAUGUAAAUUAUUAUUUAGUUAAAUAUAAUAUUAUUAUUCAAAUAAAUAUAAUAAUAAUAUUUAAAUAAAUAUAAUAAUAUUUAUUUUAUUAAUUAUAAAAUAUUAAAUUAAAUUAAAUUAAAAAAAUAAAAGGGUAAAAAAGGGAGAGGUGGGAGUGGAUUCCCACUCCCACUCCCCACUCCAAAAAUGGGUGGGGCCCACGGAGUGGGAUUCCCACUCCCUUCCUAUUUAGAGGAAGUAAACGCUGGAGUGGGAGGAAUCCACACUCCUCACUCCCACUCCAGCAAAUAAACACAGCAUUAAAAGUGUCUUCUACAGUUGGGACCCUCCCCAAAAUAUCUCGUAGUUAAGACAAAAAAAAAGAAUUAAAAAAAAAUCAACAAAAUUAUCAAGUACAUGGAUUGUGCAUUGUGGGCUGUGUUUCAAUGAGAUAAUGCCACAUCUUCGGGUUCUGCUGAUUGUGGUGAUAAGAGUCAUCAUCGACUAUUUCAUGAGGAAGCUCGGCCCCGCUUUCCACUCGAGGCGUGAUUUGUAUGUAAUUAAAAAAUGUUGAUUAUUUUUUAAUUACCUGCGGAAAAGGAUUAGAGAAAAAGAGAAUGAUAGUAGGACACUUGGUAAUCAAAACACGUUGUAUUGUAGCAAACGAAAACGAACCUUAACCACACCCCACUAGGGGAUGGAAACAAAUUGAGUAAAUUUGGAUAGCCAGCAAAAUAAAUUAGAUUAUCAUAUAACUAAAUAAGAUUAUCACAUAACUUGCUUCAAGAUAUUUUUUUGGGAUUAGAUUUGUGUUCACUUAUGAAGUUCAUAUUAUACAUACUAGCUUGAAAACAUGCAAAUUAGUGCAUUCAAUCAGUCGCGGAGCAAGAAUUUUAGGUCAAACCAUAACAAAAAUAGCAAAAGCUAAGAGGCCAUAACAUAAAAUUUAUAAAUUUGAGAUAAAUUUUGUAUCAGAAAUUGAUUAAAUUUUAAUUGAAUCUCUAAUAGUUUUUUAAAGAAAAAUUAACCGAAAACACCUACCCAUAUUACCUAUUGUCAAAUAAAAUAUGAGGACAUCUAUAUUUUAAAAUCAUUCAGACAUCCGCACCAAAGACUAACUAGUUAAAUAAGUAACUCGAAAAUAUAAGAUCUAAUACUUAAAUUACAACACUCUCAUUUUGGAACUCAAAGUUUGCCAGGAUCAUGCAAGCAGCUACAUCUGUAUUAUGGAAUCACUCCAUUAAUUGAUAGCAUUAGUGCCAUUGAUCCAAAUAUCUAAUCAUCUCCUUCAAAUUGUCGACCACAGUAACAGAUCCAUCACAUUUUUUUGCUAGAGUUGUAAAGUUGUGUUGUUGUUGCCACUUCGAUACAUGAGAUAUUUUUUGGGCAUGGUCACAAAGAGGAGCGUGAUACAUGCUCUCAUCAACUCAACACAAGCUAGCACAGUUCGCUUGGAGCAAAUUAUCUUCUUCUAUAAAUUCUCUACUUAAUUCCCAUGAAAUGCCCACAUCCAUCUCCUCAUCCAUUGUUCUGAUUACUAGCUCCAUCUAAUCCCUCUCAUAACAUUUUUCAAAACUAUUUCAGAGCCAUGUUGCCAAGAAGCCGAACUAUGCCAAGCAGAUUCCAUCACGGGGCUGUAAUCACAACAACUUAUUUAAUUUCUUCCUUAAUAUAUAUUCUUGAAAUACUUUCUUUAAUUAAAUUUCUGCUGCUGCUUAUAUAUUGUAAACUUAAUCAAUGUUUGUUUAUAGGUUGAAGAAAGACAUGACGUAAGGCACUACUUGCAAGUUGAAGUUCAGCCUAAAGCUCAUAUUGAGACUGAAGCCACUAAUCCUCAAGCCAACUAUUCGAACUGCUUUGAUGAUGAUGGCCGCUUGAAGAGAACUGGUAAGUUCAAUAACUUGCCUAUUUUUCAAAUCAAAGAGAAGCACUUUUUUUUGGCUUCUGGGAUAGUUACUUUUUUCAUCAAGAAGUACUUAAAGACAAAGUAAAACUAAGAAUUUUUAAUUAUAUAAUACAAAAAGUGGAAAAUAUUUCUUAAGAAAUCCCUUUUGCCGGGGUCUAAUAACGUCUUCAUUUUGUACUAAUACCCCCAUUAUCACUUAGAAAAUAGUAAUAAGCUCAUCAUUUGCUUGGUGAAAGAGAUUAAGCUUUUACUUGUGAAGUAAUCUUCAUAUAAAUAUAUAAUAAUCACACCCUCUCUUUUAUUUGUUGUUGGAAAAAAUAAUUUGUUGAGUUCAUUGUGCUAACUGAAGUCGUUGCAGGGAAUUUCUGGACUACAUCAUCGCAUAUUAUUACUGCAGUUAUAGGAUCAGGAGUAUUGUCAUUAGCAUGGGCAAUAGCGCAGCUUGGUUGGGUUGCAGGACCAACUGUACUGAUCCUCUUUGCCUUAGUCAAUCUUUACACUGCCAAUCUCCUCUCUCAGUGCUACCGGUCCGGUGAUCCUGUUACCGGACAGAGAAAUUACACCUACAUGGAUGCUGUCAAGGCUAACUUAGGUAACAAGAAUGCUGUUGUCAUUUUCAUGUACAAGACUUUUUAUCUUUGAUGGGAUGAUGCUAACAUUGAUUUUGAUUUUAAUUUCAGGUGGAAAGAAGGUCAUAUUCUGUGGAUUGAUCCAGUACUUGAAUUUGUUUGGUGUUGCUAUUGGUUACACAAUUGCAGCAUCGGUUAGCAUGAUGUGAGUUUUCUCCACGAAUUUUAGCUCAUGUUUUUAAAGUUUAACUUGCAUAUGCUUCAUGUGCCAUUGAUUAUGUUAUUUUAGGGCAAUAAAGAGAUCAAACUGUUUCCAGAAAAGCGGGGGGAAAGAUCCGUGCCACAUGUCGAGUAAUGGGUAUAUGAUAACAUUUGGAAUCAUAGAGGUGUUAUUUUCUCAGAUCCCAGACUUUGAUCAAGUGUGGUGGCUCUCCAUAGUUGCAGCUAUUAUGUCAUUCACAUACUCUACUGCUGGUCUUGGACUUGGAAUUGGAAAAGUUGCAGGUACAAAUAUGCUUAUAAAGCCAUCCUCUCCUUCAAUUAUGAGACGAAGAAGGAUGCCGGCAAUGGUAUAAAAAGCUUGCAUUUUUUCAGGAAACGGGAGCUUCAAGGGAAGCCUAACGGGCAUCAGCAUAGGAACACUAACAAGUGCUGGAACAGUUACUGGAACACAGAAGCUGUGGAGAAGUCUACAAGCUCUUGGAGCAAUUGCCUUUGCAUACUCUUUCUCCAUCAUCCUUCUCGAAAUCCAGGUACAAGCUUUGACAGCAUGCUUAGCAUAUUUAUUGCCUAAAUACAUGAUGACAUGUAUUCGUAUAUAAAAGAACACUUUAUCUAUUCUACAGGAUACAAUAAGAUCCCCUCCUGCUGAGUACAAGACCAUGAAGAAAGCAACUUUGUUCAGCAUCAUAGUAACGACUACAUUCUACUUGCUCUGCGGAUGCAUGGGUUAUGCAGCCUUCGGAGAUCUUGCUCCUAACAAUCUUUUGACUGGCUUUGGUUUCUACAAUCCCUAUUGGCUCAUAGACAUUGCAAAUGCAGCAAUUGUUGUUCAUCUUGUUGGUGCUUAUCAGGUCUUUUGCCAGCCAUUGUUUGCUUUUGUGGAGAAAUGGAGUGCAAAAAAAUGGCCUAAGAGUGACCUUGUGACUGCAGAAUAUGAGAUACCAAUCCCUUUCUGGGGUGUGUACCAGCUGAACUUGUUUCGGCUGGUAUGGAGGACUAUCUUUGUUGUGCUGACGACAUUGAUAUCCAUGCUCCUGCCAUUUUUCAACGAUGUUGUGGGGAUUCUAGGGGCCAUGGGAUUCUGGCCAUUAACAGUCUAUUUCCCGAUUGAGAUGUACAAAGCACAGAAGAAGAUUGGAAGAGGGACAACUAGGUGGCUUGGGCUUCAGAUUCUAAAUGUGAGUUGUUUCUUCAUCACUCUGGUUGCUGCAAUUGGUUCUGUGGCCGGAGUUGUUCUGGAUCUCAAGACUUACAAGCCAUUCAAAACUCGCUACUGAGUUAUGAAGUUAUACUAGAAUUUGGCAGAAGAAUAUAUUUAGCAACUAUUUAGCAACUGCUGAGCGAGUAUGAACCAUUGACAUUGAAGAAUUUAACGGUUCAUGUGAGGAAUAAAAUGUACCAUUUGCUAUCAAAAGUAUAUUCAUCUUGGUGUCCAAAUUUAGAUUCAUAUCGGCAAUGCAAAAUUGACACAGUAGUUUCAUUUCACCAUCAAUUGGGAUUAAUGUAUGUAUGUAUGCAUGUAUGUAUGUAUACACACACACACACACACAUAUAUAUAGCCUGUUUUCAUCUAAAAAGUAACAAACCUCAACCUUCAAGAAAAUGGAAAAAGAAAAAAGCCAUUUCUGCUAUUACAUAGAGGUGAACAAUGCGGGACGAAAAUAUGUUUACUAAGAUUUCUUGCUCUGUUUAGCCUUGAGCUCAGCAGCAUUAGCUUUUACAGCAGCUUUAGCUAGAGACGUGGGCUUGAAUGCACUCUUUGGAUUGAAAGCCUGCCUUAUCUUGAAAACAGCCCAAGCAGUCCCAAAGGCAUGUCCAGCAGCAUCUAGCCCUUCAUUUGUUGCCUUUGCUGCUUGCUCCCCAUACCUGCAAUGUCAAAAAUGUCAAAAAUAUGAUCAUUACUCUAAUAGAUCCAACAGUAUCAUGAAAGCUUUAAUGAAAACGGGUACACUGAAUGUAAUUGUCAAAACUUUGGAGUCUAAAAUGAACCCCUCUGAUUUAAUUGAAAUGAUCUUGCCAUUUAAGCUGAUCAUAGGAACACAGAGUUCUGAAUUUAUUCCAUAAAGAUAAAAAUAUCAACUUUCUGUAUGGCCCACAGCCAGACAAAUCCCUUUAGUGGAACAACACCUGUCUUAAGAGAAAGCAUCCCAAAUUAAAGAAAUAUGAAUCGACAACAUAGAUGAUUCCAACUUAUCCAAUAUAACAUGAUCACAAGAUCAUGCUGAUAGUAAUAUUUGCAAUUAUUGUGACGCUGAUGAUGCAAUGAUGCAUUAAAUACAUAUUUAAGUUGAGAUAAAUACCUAUCCGAAACAAGUCCAGUUGUCACAACAGAUGUGGUUGACAUGACAUUCCUUCCAGCAACUUCAACAGCAUCACAGACCUUGUCUGCAAAUGCACACAGAAAGAACACACGGGUGAUCAAUGAUGUAAUCAGAAGGCAUAAAGCAUGAUACAACUCUACAAAUACACGCAACCAUUUUUAGCAUUUCAUAGUUAUAGUACUAACUUAACCAUCCACAGGUUAUUUUUACGCAGACAAAUAUCGCAAGGCCAUAGCAACAUCUUGCGACAUGGGAUAAGGAAUUUAUACAAGGAGAUCAGAUAAGAUCAGAUUAAUUUAUAGAAGUAACAUCUCCUUCAGAACUUAGGAUUUGCAUGUAAUUCAUAUAUGGGAGAAUAAACAAACUGAAAAGAACAACUUACUGAACCCAUCCAAGGUAGCAAGGACAAUUUCCCCAGGCAGUAGGCUGAAAAAUUUCUUCCCAACUUUAGAAUUCACGAUCGGGCCUGUGAAGAAUCCAGACACUUUAACAACCCCAGAAAGGAUUCCAGUAGCCACUUUCUCAGACAUCUUAGUCAACUUCUUAACCCUGAGUAUAACAGACCAUUAGAUGUGUCAGCUCGAUAUAGAAAAUACUGAAAAGCAGAAAACACAGAGUUGCAAACAAUACAUUUCAAAAUUUUGGUAGUUUCAUUUAUUCAAGUUUGUGCUUUAAGUGAAAUAAAAGCAGAAACGGGGAAUUUGAAAGAAGAAAAAUUUUGCAAUUGAAAAUUUUUCCAAAGUAUCCGGACAAGGGGUCUGAAUUUUAAGUAUGAACCAUAGUUCGAAUACUUCAUGAUCUAUUUCAUAUAUUCCAUGCUCAAGAUACUAGAAUGAAUAAGGCAUACAAAUUAGAUAUCGAAAUAUUAGCUGCCAAAAGUCUAAUGCAUAUCUACUCCAAAAAUUAUACAGCAGACACAUAAUUUAGGACAAAUAAAUUGGUAAAUCUUCUAUCCAGGAGACUAAAUCUUAACUAAUGAUUCACCUAUGCAUAAAAACAGGGCCAAACCACGUAGAGCCAUGUAUAUAUAUAAAAUCUAACCUUUUGAUCCGCUUGAUUGUAUCAGGACUAAUCUCUGAUUGCGAACCGGAUCCCAUCCUCUUCCUCAGAAAUCCAUUCCCCCACUUCAAGCCAUCCACAGUCACGUCACCACACCACAAAAUCCCCUUAAUCAACUGCCCUGAUCCCGCGGCAAUCAUCCUCGCCACAGAGCCGCUAUAGUCCUCCACAUUGGGCGCCAACGCAGUCCAAUAAGCCCCCGAACUCUUCCCCAUUAACUCCCUAUUCUCCGCUGACUUCAGCUCCUCAGGCGACAUCUCCUUGGCCACCAUCUCCCAAUUCCCCAUAUUCUUCACCUUUUGCACCGAAAAACAACUGUAAGUCUCCAACACUUUAUCCAAUUCCUUCAACAAAUGCUUCUGUCCCUUUGUAGCAAUCGUCAGCCCAUAGUUCAACACCUCAUGAUGAACUUGAUCAGUCUCGAGCGAACCAUUUUCGGGAACCCUUAGAGUGAAGAAGUAAUGAGAGUCGUCAAGCUUAACGGCCGGCUCAUCUUUGGCCAAAGGCCAUUGAAUUUCAUCACCAACACGUGCAAACACAGCAACAACAUUGUCGCCUUGCGAGAGAGACACUAUAUAAAGCUCACCGGAAGCAAGCUCAACGCUUUGUUCUCUUUCGAUUAAGUGGACAAUAGCGCCUGGGAUUUUGACAAGAACAUGCUCGGACGGUGGGGCGUUGGCGGUGAUGUGCGAAACGGCAUCGUCUUCGGGGAAGAGAUUUUCCGCCAUGUCUUUCAUGUCAACCGAAGGGUAUAAAGAAGACGGUGAUGAAGAAGCGGCAGUCGAAGCAGAAGCGGCUUCUGGGUUUGAUAAAUCGACUUCUGGGUAAAGUGCUUUUGAGGGGUUUGAAGAAGCCAUGAUUGAGUAUUGACGCUGAUGAUGAUCAGUUACUUUACUUGAGACUUUGGGGCUUACAAACGUUUUCGUAAAGCUUAGGAUCGAAGGAAAAUGAACGGGGAAGGAAAAUGGGGACCGUGUAUGAUGACGUGGCGGAAGGAGAAGUAUCCGCGUAAUAGACGUGGGCUGUUGGUCGUCCUGCUGAAGUAACUGUUUUGUUUUCAACAACAAAGAAAUAUCUACCUCCCGCGCUUUAUUCAUAUUCGUUUCGCAAAAUCCUUUAUUUAGGUUUUUUUAGUAAUUUCCUUUAUUUAAAAUCUUUAGAUUAACAAAGUUACUAGUUUACAAGAAACUGAAAGAGAUUUAAUUGAACAGAAACACGUGUCCUUAUUCGUGAUUAAUCAGAUUGAGAUGAAACGUCAUAUUGGAUCACUAAUUGUGACAGGAGUAGCGCAUCUCCUUUAUUUCUUUCUUAUAACAGUAAGUAGUUGAGGAGGCAUACACUUGUAAUCACAAAGAAUGGAUUCCAUAAAUUUAGACCGGCUUGAAAGAAAUUGAAUUUUUAAAUUAUUACAUCACAAUUCUUUCUUCAAAUAUUAUGUUUAGAUUUUCCUCCGAAUCAUACACCCCAAAACUUUGAAAAGAAUAAAGAGAAAUAUACUCUAAUAAAUAAUGGACAAAAUGUUUUUGUCUCUAAUAGGUAUUAAGACGUGAUUUAAAAAAUGUGAGAAUCAUCCAAUUAAAUUAAUGUCUUAAAAAUUAUAUUUAAAAAAAAUUACUUUACAACGGUUGUAAAUUAUAAGUAUUUUCACUUUCAUAAGAUCUUUAUUAUGGUCAUUAUUAUUAUUAUUAUUAUUUGGAUAAAUUUACUAACAUACACCUUUACUCUGACUCCGAGUAACAUAAAAUUUGAUAAAUGUGAAGAACAAUUGUGAGUUUGUGACCAUUGAAAACUAGUUUGUCCAAAUUCCAAAUUUUCAAUCAAGACUUAAAGUGAUUUGUAGCUAGAGGUGGCAGAAAAGCUCGCCCGGACCGGAUCCGGCCCGGACCCGGCGUGAGCGGUCCGGAUAAAACCCGGCCCGCAUGAAUGGAAAAAGCGGACCCGGCUGCUUGCGGGCACGGGUUCGGUCACAGCACCAAGAACCCGGAACCCGGACCCGUGCCCGAUUUUUUAUUAAGUAAAAAAAAAAAGAGGAAAAUAUAAAACCGAAAAUAAAAUUUGCUUUGCCCUAUUGCCCCCAAAACCCAACCCUAAAUCGCGAUUGCAAGUGAACAACACAGCACACAAGCACACACCCUGAAAUCUCCAAAUCGGCGGCACCUCUCUCCGUCUCUCCACCAGCAGCCACCACCCACCAGCCGCGAACCUCUUACCUUCCCUGAUCAACUCUAUUUCUCCUCGCAAAGCACAUCCAUCCCGUCACAGAGCUCUUCACUGUUUGGUUAUCUUCUCAGCGGCAGCCACCACGCGACGGUAUCAGCCAUCAUAGCUGGUCUCACUCCAUUGUUUUGUCACCUUAUCAGCUGCAACUCCACCAACACAGCCACGACCCACGAUAUAUUUGUAUAUCGACCGUAACAAGACGACAAUGUGUUGAGUUGUUUACAGAGAAUACUCAAAUGGGUUUGCUUGGUUUCUCUUCUCCUCUUGUUGUUGUUGUUUUCUAUUUGGUUUUGAAUGCAGCUUCGCUUGUUAAUGGAGGCAAAACUAGCAGCUUUUUCAGGAAAGUUGAAAAGACCAUGGACAUGGCUGUAUUUUUAUUUCCAGUGCAUUCAACUUUGAAAAUGUGGGUAGAGAAAAUCCGAAAAAAAAGCCCGUGCCUGGAUAGUGCCAGGCAUAUACCCGGCCCGCAUAGAAAAAAUCCAGGCACGGUUCGGGUCCGGGUAGCUAUGUGUGACAUGCAGGUCGGUCCCGGGCAGCCUCAAACCCGGACCCGACCCGCACUUUUGCCAUCCCUGUUUGUAGCCUAGCUUUGUCUAGCCCAUCUUCAAUACAAAGCCCAGCUUAAGGCCAGGAAUAAGUCCUCUUGAGCCCAAGCCUUCAAUAAAUGGGCUGUCUCAGCCCAUUAUUUAAAAUGUUAAUAACCGGAAAUAAGCGUCUGACCCGCAAUCGAAACACUUACAAAGUCUUCAACUUCUCAUCAACACUCAAGGAUUUAUAUGCUUCUAAACACGAUCAAGAGAACUCCUUUUAUAUACUUCCAAUUCAAUAAGUGCUUUAUUCCAUACAAACCUCAAGCUCCUUGCAUUGAUCCGUACAAUUCCAGCAAACUCUUGAGUAAUUAUUUCAAAUCAGGAAAAAUUAAAGAAGCAGAGAACCUGUUCGAUGAAAUUCCUGAGAAGAAUGUAGUAUCAUGGUCCAUUGUGAUUCAUGGAUAUUCUAUAAAUGGGUUUCACGAGAAAUCCAUGAAAGCUUUCUCCCAUAUGAUGCUUUCGGGUUUGUUACCCAAUUCUUUCACUAUGGUUGGUGUUCUUGUUGCGGCAGCAGGCUUGCAAAACUUGGAACUUGCAAGAUCUAUUCAUGGGCUGAUGGUGAAAUUUGGGUUGGAAUCUGAUGUAAUAGUUGGUACUGCGAUGCUUGAUGCAUAUGCAAAAUGUGGGAAUAUAUUUUAUUCGUAUAAGUUGUUUGAAGGACUAAAGAACCCAUAUUUGGUUUCUUGCAAUGCAAUUGUUGCUGGGUUUAUAAAUAAUAAACUUUUUCAACAGGCUGUUCUCUUAUUUAAUUUCUUUCGUGGGUCUGGUUUGGUGCCUAAUGCUGUGACAAUGUUGACGGUUAUUAGGGGUUGUGUUGCAUUAGGGUCAAGGGCACUUUGUGAACUAAUCCAUGGUUUGACAAUUAAGUUGGGCCUUAUUUUGGAUGUAUCUGUUAAUAACUCUGUACUUGACAUGUAUUCAUGUCUGAUGGAUUUAGAUGCUGCUAUCCAAAUAUUUAGAGAGAUGGAAUGCAAAGAUGUUAUCAGUUGGACGAGGAUGAUGGGCUUGUUUGUCGAUUUUGAAUAUGCCGGUGAUGCUCUAAAGAUUUUUAGGGAAAUGAGAAAGAGUAGGAUCAUUUGUGAUACGGUUGCUCUACUGAAUUUAAUCUCAGCUAAUGCAAUUUUGGGAGAUCUGAAGAGAGGAAAACAACUCCAUGCACAAGUUGUUUUGGGAGGCCUUCAAUCAGAGCAACGCCUUUCAAACUCUAUCAUUGCAAUGUAUUCCAAGUGUGGAGAUUUAGAUUCUUCCAGAUCUGUGUUUAAUCAGAUAACAGAGAGGAGUUUGGUUUCCUGGACAGCAAUCAUUUCAGGAUAUGUGCAGAAUGGGUGUGCAAGAGAGGCUUUGAACCAAUUCAUUAAGAUGAGACAAGAAAAAACCGAUUCCGUUGAUUCAAUAACGUUAGUCAGUAUUCUCACUGCUUCUGGUGAGCUAGCUGCUUUAGAGAUCUGCCUGCAGCUCCAUUGUCUUGCUUUUGAAGCUGGUUUCCCACGGUAUAGAUCAGUUCAAAACUGUCUUAUAUCGUCAUAUUCAAAGUGUGGGAAUGUCGACCUUGCCUACAUUGUUUUCGAGGAGAUGGGUUUUCUUCGAGAUGUUGUAUCAUGGAAUACUAUUAUAUAUGGUUAUGGGGUUAAUGGCCAUGGGGAAACGGCUCUUGCUCUGUACCAUAAGAUGACGGAGACUGGGGAAGUCCCUGAUAGUUCAACCUACCUGAGCAUUUUGAAUGCUUGUAGUCAUGCAGGGUUAACAAAUGAUGGAUUAGUUAUUUUCAAUCAAAUGAUAGAAGAAAACAAAGUGAAGCCAAGCCAAGAGCAUUAUGGGUGUGUGGUUGAUUUGCUUGCUCGAGCGGGCUGCUUAUCAGAUGCAAGUGGGCUUGCUGGUAAACUUUUAGAAGGGAUGGGCCCAAAUAUUUGGAGGGCUUUGCUUAGUGGAUGUGUGCUCCAUGGUAACGUGGAGCUAGCAGAACUAGCAGCGAAAAAUGUAUCUGAGCUUGACCCUGGAGAAUCUGGUCAAGUUGUGCUCCUUUCAAAUGCUUAUGCAUCAGUUGGGAGGUUUCAGGAUGCUGAAGCAUUGAGAUCGGGCUCACAGAAGAAAGGGAUAAUUAAGAUUCCAGGGAUUAGCUUUCUCAAUAGCACAUCACGUGACUUCGGUUGAUUAUUCUAUCCUUUUAGAUUAGAGGAGAGUUUCUUUCUUCUUAUGGACAUUCACUAUGUCUCAAGACUUGAUGAAGUUUCUGUUGACAUAAGCGCCACCAGAACAUCCCCGUACUACUGGCAACUUGAUUAACCAGAUGAUGGCUGAAUCUGGGUUUAUUAUUCAUUAUAGUUAAAACGCAUCAAGGAGAGAACCUCUGUAUAAAAUUCCAGAAUUACGAAUUUGAAGAUGAUUCCAUUUGUUCUUCUUUAAUGGAUCUGAUAUGGCUGAAAUUAAUUAUCAGCAUUUGUAAUCAUAGCGAUGCUAACUUUAACGUACCCUGCUUCAUCAUGAAUGUAUUCUAAAAUCGUUAAAAGCAAUAAUUUCCUUUCCUUUACUUUUGCUUCUUUUUUUAUUUUAUUAGAAGAAUCUUGUUGACUUUAUAUUCCACCGGUUUGGUAUGACAAGAUGCUAGCAUAAUUAGCUGAUGUGAAAAUUCAUUAUUAAACUAAAGACUUUGGUUCAAUCACCUAUUUGAUAUUUACUACCGAUUACAUAUGCUCAUGAAAGUUCCUGUGAUUACAAAUCCCGGUUUAGUUGAUUGAAUUCCGGAGAAUCUGAGGAUUAUUAAAUUUCUUCGGUGCUAUUACAUUUAAUUUCUCUGCUAGGAAAACUGUAUAGCUGUAUCUGUUGAGUGCUGCUGAGGACUACUAGUUCAUGCCUAAAUGAUUUAUGGGCAAGUCAGGAACAUGAUGCCCAUUCUUUCACAAGAUGUGGAUAGAUAUAACUCAGAAGUAGUAUCUAGAAUCCUGGAAAACUAAUUAGUUUCUGUUGCUAGUAUACCAAUAAUGUCAUGGAUAAGCUGCUGUAGAUAAUGCGCAUCUCAUCACGGGAAAACUAUUAAAUACAAUAAUCCUAAGUCAACCCAGCACAGCUUAUCUUUUAACAGAUCCACUAACUGCUUAAUUUGGUGUUCUCACGGCUUUCCGAUGAAUUAUGAAAUUGAUCUUAUCCAUGAGAUGCAAGGCACGGCGCCAACCGGCAGCAGCCCCAGUACAGGCUCCGUGUGGUACAGCUUAUUAAAUAGAGCUUAUAACAGUAGAGCUUAUAGCAGUAGAGCUUAUACCAAUAGAGCUUUUGGACAAAAAGUCAUUGGGUGUUUGGUUGUCAAUAAAAAAAGUACUUUUGAACCAUUAAACUGUGUGAUAUUUUUUUAUUAUAUAUUUUUAGAAAAACUCUCUAACUUCUACUCCCAAAAGCUCAAAUUUUGGGCUUUCGCUAGUAGAGGUAAAUUAGCUUAUUUAAGUUAAAAAAACUCUACUAAAAAAAUAACCAAACACCAUAAAGUUUUUUAAAAAGUACUUAUACGAUUAAAUAAGCACUUAUGGCUCUUAAAUAAGCCAUACCAAACAUGCACUAAGUUCGGCCUGAAAUGGCUUAUGGAUAGCAAGUGAGGUGCAGAAACACAAUAGCGGUCCACAAAGAUAAAAUGCAAGAACUAUAGCCCAAGAAAGAAAGCUAAUACAUGACGGAAAUGAAAUACUAACUAGGCAACCCAAAAAGGGGGUGAAUUGAGAUUUUAAAAUUUAAGAUAAACAAACUAUACAACAAUUUAAUCUAAUGCCUUAAUGGAAUAAAAAAUAAUAAAUUUAACAAAGCACGAUAAUAAGAGAGUAAGGGAAGAGAAAACAAGCAUGAUUUUUACGUGGUUCGGCAAUCUCCGCUUACGUCUACGCCUCCAAGCUCACCCGACUUGAGGAUUUCACUAUUUAAACUUCCCAAGGCUUCAAGUUUUUUAUAAUUGACUUUCAAGGUGUCAAUGGACCUUUAUAAUCAAGAGAUUAUUUCCUCAAUCUCUUCACUCCAAGUGUUUCUCACACUUGUACACUCACAAUUUGAUGAAAAAUAAAAAUUACAACACAAAACUCUCUUUUAGAGUGGAUAUACAAAUGAUAGCUCAAUGAAGAUUUAAUCUAUGAUGAUUUGCGAAAUUAAAGCUCAAUAUAUGUUGUGUGCACUUGUUUAUGCUUGCAAAGAUUACCAAAAAUAAAUUGAAUUUGAGUUUAUAUAGUUUGAGCUCGAAAACUAGCUGUUAUAGACUUUUUGGUGAUAACCGCCUUGUCGCUUUGUGAAUCCGGUUAGACGCUUUUAUGUUACCGUUACAACAAAUAUUUGAAUUUUGGAACAUCCGGUAUGCCGCUUUUGGAAUCUGGUUAGCCGCUUUCAUUCCAGUAAGCUACUGCCCAUAAUCUGGCUUGCCACUUUGUAAAAUACGGUUAGCCGCUCUGCUACAAUGACAGAUACAGUGAAUUAGUUUUUUAAAUUAUAAUUUUACCCUAAACUUUAUAGAAUUACGAUAUAGCCCAAAAUAUCAUAAAACUUUAUACAAAUGUCCAAUUUCAGAACUUCUAAAUAAUACUUAUUAUUCCCAAAAAAUUUUAAAAUUAUGAUUUCCCCAAAACGCUAUGAAAAUUUUCACAUAAGUCAUUUUCUAGAAUUCCAAGCAAUACUUGUUGAUUUCAAAAUUUUUAAAACUCUUUCAAUUAGACCAUAAACUUGAAAAACAACUAAUUUUAUAAAAUUAUUUUUCCAUUAAAUAUAAAAUAUUUAUAAUGUAAAAAUAAUAAUUUAUUUAAAAUGUAUAAAAAAUAAUUUAAACUUUCAAAAACUAAAUCAUUUUAAAAUUUAUUUAUUAUCAUCAAAAUCAAUAUUAUGGAUACAUAAAUGUUAACCGAAAAAUCUUUUACUUUCUUAGUUCAUGCAUGAGGAUAACUCCUAGCUUUAAAGAUGUGGGCACGCAUUCAUUUUGGCAUACUUUGGUUCAAUGUGCCUGAAUAACAUUUUGGAAUAAAAAAUGUCCACUUCUCAUCAAAUUCUAGCCAUCCAAGCAUGUCUCGUUCAACCCAUUUGCAUCAAGCAUCAUUUACUCACACCACAUAACCUGGACUUUUCUAGCAUUUUACAUGGCCUAACUAUUUAUGUAUAUAUAUACUCUUUCAGUCCUUUAUUUUUGUCGACAAGGCUCUAAACGAUGAGGGUAUCGGAUACUCUAGCAUCAAAUUGGAACUCUGUCUGGGCUGCUAGUAUCUUGUUCCUCAAGUGCUUCCAGUUACAACUUUCUAUAAUGUCUCUUUCUAUACUUUCUGCAGUUUUUGCUUUCAUUAUCAUAUCUGUUGCUCUUCUCAUCGAUACAGUGGUCGUACUAUUCUGCGAUUCGAGUUCAGUAUCCCUGAAGACAUGUAAAGGAGGCAUAUGCUGGCACAGCCUUGUAGAUUCUUGUACUGUUUCUGGUGAAAAUAUGAUGUGGUCACCCUCUCAAUUAUCCGUGGUAAACUGAAUGAAUUUCAUUGUCUUAUAAAUGAAACAUCUAUAUCUAUAUGACUAUAUAUGAUAUAGCUUCACAAAUUGAUGCCUCAGUAUCAGCUCAAUACCACCCCCAGAUAAGCACUUAUUUGUAGUGAUUUAUCUUUUAAAAUAAAAAUCCAAACUAAAAACUGUUUAUGAAAGCACUUGUUGUCUCCACUAAAAGCCAAGAAUUUGAUUCGCAUUUAGUUAGGUUAGAUCACGCCCAGAGCAAGACACCAAUUCAAUUAUGUGGUUUCAACUUUCACUUAAGCUCGUUAGUCAAAUAAGUUGAAAAGAUUGGUGUAUGCUUGUAGAUUAUUUAUUUGCACUAGGAAGCUUUAGGUUGCAUAUAAUAAAUAGAAAUAAUAACAUUCAUUAAGCCUGAUUAAUUGCUGCUCAAGUUUUUUGUUUAAAAAGGGGAUGAUCCAUUUUUCGAUAAAGUUUUGCAAGAUUCAAUAAGAUUGAUUUAAUAUCAAACAAAUAUUUAAACCGACACAAAGCUUUAAGUAACUUGGAAGCAAAUGGUCCUCCCUAAAGUGCUUUCUUUCUUUCUUUCUUUCUUUAAUUUAUAUAAUUUUUUUUCAGCGUACAUGGCUGUCCCAGUGGCGCUAGCGCCUAAGAAAUAUCGAAUGGUGGGUGCAAAUUAACGCGGGAAUGACCUACCAAAUUUGUAUCUUAUGACUUAUAUAGUUUCGAAGGAAGCUGCAGUAAUAUAAAGCCAUUUCAUGUUAGAAGUAUACAAAUUAAUUAUACCGGGGUGUCCUUGUGGUCUUGUCUCUCUCUCUCUCUCUUUAUUUUUAUCGGGAAAUUUACAGUAAUAACCCAAAAAUUUUGCUUUUUUUCAUCUUAACCCCCCAAAAAUAUUUCUAUCAACAUUAGCCAUAAAACAACAUUUGAGACCAAAAUACCCCUCCCUCAUCUCUCCCCCAACACUCCCUUGCACUCAUCUCUCCCAAACCGAUCCAUCAUCGGCGACAACAUGGGAGAAACAAUGUUGGUUUUGUUCUGUAAAGAAGGAUAAUUUGAAAAAAAAGACUUAUAUUUGACUAAUGUUGAUAGAAAAAAAUUAACAGGAUUAAUUGUGAAAAUAAUAAAAUAUUAAUGGUUAUUUUCGUAAAUUUCCCAUUUUUAUCUGAUGUGGUACGGGAAGUGGAUUAAAGCAUGGAUUAUUUCGUUCGUUGGAGGGGCCUGAAUAUCAAUCAUUCAAGAUCCCUUAUGCCCGCGAAACCCUCUGAACAAACAAAAGAAAAAAGAAAAAGGGAAAGGAGAAAUUGAAUUACAUUAUGAAAUUCUUCCGUUUGAAAAGAGAAAAGGAUUAGCUGUUUUCUCUCUUCUUUUUCUGGUUGAAAACAUAAAUUUUUUUUGAUCUCUUGAUAUUAUUAAUAAUAUGUAAUUAUAUUAUAAAAUGACAAUUCAUUGUUGAUUGAGAUUAUUAACAAUUAUAUGUGAUUAUAAUAUGAUUUUUUCUUUUUUUUUUUUUUAAUACAAAACUUCCCACAUGAAACAAUCAAGGAAGGGAUGAUAUUCUAGGAGAGAAUGGAUAGAACUCGGUAUUAAAAUAAUCAAUCUUAAAAAUGUGUGUGCACUUUGAACAAGACUAAACCAAUAGCAAACGGCUAGUGAAUCUUCUAUAUAUUUUAUGAACAAAAUAAGAGGUCAUAAAACACAAAGGGCAGCGUGCUGCGUGCGUGCGUGCGUUUAGUAACUUGCAUCGCAUUAAAAUUUUUUUUUUACCAGUUUCUCUCCCUGCCCAGUCUCUAAAUUUGUGGAUCAGUGGAUGGUGACCAUAAUGGAGGAAUUAAAACCAUUGGAGAUAAAAGCACAAGAAGCAUUUCAAAGUACUUUCGGUACUUCUACAACAUUUCUAAAUAACCAAGAAUAUAGUCGUAGCAACUAGCAAAUGCCAAGGGACAACACUAGCUAGAAAAGCAACAGAAGAUCAAUAAAGGAAGCCUUGCUAAAUUCAACAACUAAUCACUGUUACAGUGCUUGAUGGGAGAACCCUGCUCUAGCAAUUAGCAGUAGCUGCUGGUACAAAAAGCAUGUAAAUAUGUAAUUAUAUGAACUCAAAACAGCAAUCAUUUCUUAUAAUUGAGUUUUUAAAAGCCUAUACUUUAUGUAAAGUUGAGUAUAUAAACUUAGUUCAGUUUAUACAUACAACAUACAUCCACUUAACUUGAAAGAGACAAGUACUCCCAACCUCUCUACUUCUAUCUUGCCGAAAGUGAAAAAAAAACACAGUGCGCACACAUUACAAAAGCCAUAAAAGCAAGUAGCUUCUCCUACAAGUUACCUCAUCCAGGUUACAGAGGGUCCAAUUGGGUAACCACAAGUGGGCUUCGAACCUCGUGCUUCCCGUCAGACCACGAUAUUGACCCGAACGCAGCACCAGAGUCAUUCAACACCAAGUUCUUGCUAUCAGCAGUUACCGUCACCACAAAGCUGCUCUUCUUAACACCCUCUGUGAAGACCAAUCUUGAUGGUUUCACAGUCACUGUCACUCCUUUCUCCGGAGACACAACUUUCACUGUAUACACAGCAUUUGGCUGACCAACAUUGGUCACGGUUCUGAUAAAACUCUUGCUUGAAACUCCCCUGGAUUGUGUCGAGAACAAUGCGGCAAUCGAAGGGUAGUUCAAAUUCUCGGGCCUUGGCCUUUUAGCCGGACAUCUCGCUGGUAUUCGUGUGAUCACCUGAAUUAACUUUGGUCCAUAACCAUUAGCACAUAAAAAGUUAACAUAAUCAUCAUUGGUAAUAUCAUAAACCAACCCUGGAUCCAUUGCUCUAUCAAGAUUUACAUGGCCGGCACCAAAAUCAUACGGGGUUGAUGCAUUUCCAGUAGCCUCAUCAGUCAUGGGCUGGUUGCUAUUAUCAACUAUACUAGCAGUAGUCAUCAUAGCAGACCUUAUAGCAGCCGGACUCCAAUCCGGGUGAGCUGACUUAAGCAAAGCCGCUGCACCACUCACAUGUGGGCAUGCCAUUGAUGUACCAGACAAGAUAUUAAACUCAGUUUUCCUCAAAUCUGAAUCCAACCCCGUCGGCCCAACAGCCUCCGUCCAAGCAGCAAGAAUGUUAACACCGGGAGCAAUCAAAUCCGGUUUAAGAAUCUCCGGAUUCAACGCAUUUGGCCCCCUGGCUGAAAACGAAGCCACCACAGGUGCCGGCUUGAUUCCGAGAAUAGUCCCCUUGAAAUCAAUCGUAGCCGUCGGAUUAGCUGUUGAAGAAAUGUAAGCUUUAACUGCAUCACCUUCAUCAGAACCAAGGGCACAAGCUGGUAAAAGAUGAGCAUCACCAACUAAGCCUUCGCCGUUGGAUAUUCCAUUGGCUAAUAUCAUGCCCACGCCUCCAGCUUUCUUUACAACUAAACCUUUAGCCACUCUCGGGCUACUUCCUCUAUCGCAAAUUACAAUUUUGCCCCUCACCAGAUUAGGAUCCAAGGAAUUUUCCAUACAUAAAGAAGCUGAUAAAACCCCUGAUUUUCCCGGGUAAAUUAAAGGAUACAUUUUCUCACUCAACGGCGCACCCGCAUAUAGAGACACGCCGGAGAGUCUCCUUCCGUCACCGAGUCUCACCUCCGCGGGGAAGUUUCUGUCUAUGGUUCCGGCACCAACGGUGACAAUCCAGGGAGCGAGAUUAGUCACUGACAUCCCGUUCGGGCCGUCGUUUCCAGCCGAUGACGACACAAACACACCUCUUGAAGCGGCGCCAUAUGAUCCGAUUGCGAUCGGGUCGAGAUAAUACGGCGAAGAAAUUCCAUCACCGCCGCCAAUUGAGAUGGAAAUGACGUCGACUCCGUCGUUAACGGCGGCGUCGAAGGCAGCGAGAAUGUCGGAGUCGAAGCAGCCGGCGUUCUUCCAGCAUACCUUGUAAACCGCCAGCCUCGCCUUCGGCGCUACUCCCUUAGCGACCCCGGCGGCGUAACCUUCCAUGCUCGCGCGGAACGCGUGCCGUCCUGCGGCGGUCGACGCCGUGUGGGUCCCAUGACCAUCGGCGUCCCGCGGCGACAUGAACUCUACAGUCUCAUUAAUUCCACCGCCAAUCGGACCAGCCGACCCCCCCGCCGCCUCGUGGCCUUUCGAAAAGAACCUUGCUCCAAUAAUUUUCUUAUUACAAUUCUUAGCAGUGAAUUUGACUCCAACUUGGCAUACCCCUUUCCAUUUCGAAGGAAUUGACCCGAUAUUCAAGUCGGAAAAGCUUCGUCGUUCUGGCCAGAUACCGGUGUCGAACACGCCAAUGAUGACGUCGGAUCCGUAGUCGGAUUCCGACCAGAGGCCUUGCUGGUUGCGGAGGCCGAGGAACUGAGGUGAGCGGGUGGUGUGGAGUUGACGGCGUUGGUCCUCGAUGACGGCGAGGACGGAGGGGUGACGGCUGAGGGAGGCGGCUUGGUCGGGGGAUAGAGUAGCGGAGAAGCCGUGGAAAACGGUGUCGUAUGUGUGGAGGAUUUGGACGGGAGAAGCGAACUCAGAACUAUACCAGUGAUAGUGCGUCGGGAAAAUGGACGGCUUGGAUUGAGAGUCGAUGCGGAAGAUGAAAGUUUUGACGGUUUGAUCGGUUGAGAGAGUUCGAGUUUGGAGGAACGAACCGGAGAGGAGUAAGAAAAAGAGGAACUGUAGGGGGAGUGAACUGUAGGGAAUCGCAGCCAUGGGAGAGAGAAUGAUGGUAAGAGUGAAGUGAGGGAGUGUGUGUUGGUUACCCACGGAGACGGAGGGAUAUAAUACGGAUACUGUCCUUCUGUUUUUCUUAAUCGCGUUUAAUUAAUUCAUUAAUUCAAUAAAUUCCCUAAUUUAUCAUAUGGGGUAAUUUAACCCCGUAUCCUUUACUUUUAAUGUUUUUCCAAAUAAGGCCAUAGUUGUUUUCGUUUGAACCAAAUAGGUUGUUGACUCCUACAGGAAUAAUUAAAGUACUGUUAAUUUAUUUUUUGUUCAAAAAUAGUAAGAGAGGACAUGAAUAAAAAAAGAGAGAGACAAAAUAAAAAAAAAAAUAAAUGAUUAAUUUUAUUUUUAUUGUUUAAUCAGACAUAAAAUUUAUGUUUCUCUUUUUAUUUAUUUCCAUUUCAUUCUCUUCUCUUCCUUUCCUCUCAUUUCCUUUUUUUUUUUAAAACCAAACAUGCAAUCAGGUAUAUUUGGUUGCAUGAUGAAUAUGGGAUUGGAUUUUUUUUAUCCAAUUCCUUUUAUUUUUCGUAGUUUUUCUUUUUCUUUUGCAAUGCUUUUUUAAAAAGGAAGUAAGAAUUAUUAUAUUAGUAAUAUUUUUCUCCUAUUUUGGUUUAUUUGUAUUUAUUUAAAGUUAACAAAUAAUUUUUCUUCUGUCAAAAGUGCAUAUUUGUGUUUAGUAGCAGGCAUGAUUUAUUAGAAUUUCUGAGUAUAUCAUAUCAAAAUAUGUUAUGUUUUGACUAAUGGUAGGAACAUAUUUAAUUUACUUGAAAUGUGUUAGGAAUUUAUUUGGCACAAAUUGAUAUAAACUUCUUGCAUGAGCAAUUGUAAGAGUUGAGGGAGUUCGAUGUUAUUAUCCCCCCAUCUCAAUGAUAUAUCCGCGAAGCGCCAAACAGUGUGGUCCGUGUGGAUAUAUAUGAUUUUGUCCGCGAAGGACGAACUGCUGAGUCAGUCCUUAAUUAGCGGGCCCUUGAGGAUGCGAAAACGACUUCGUAUUGAUUAGGACAAAAUCAAAUAAAGUAAAAGUGUUCUUUUUUUUUUAAUUUAAUAAAGUAAUUUAUUCUUGGAAUAGUAAGUGGUGUCGCGGUGUCGCCCCAGUGCUGUCCAGGAAUGAAAGACAGGAUCACCGUUCAAUCCAAUGGGAGCUAAUCAUGACCGUCGAUGCAGGUCCUACGACAUGUAUCAUAGAACGAUUGUACCCUUGAUCAUCAAUCAGACGGGAAUCUGAAUAAUUGUGAUUGCCUACAAAGUGAUUGAACAGGCUUUUCAGUCUUUAGGCAUUUUAAAGUGACCAAUUUUAGCGAUGGCAAUGGGCGGAGGGGAGAGAUCCACAUAUAUUCUGUCUAUUCGAAUAAUAAAAAGAGAUGUUUGAGACUGCUUGCUUAUAUUAUCAACACAAAAAUUGUAACAUAAUCUAAAUUAAUUAAAAACAUUUCCAACAAACUAAGUUAAUGUCGUCGACAUGAUAAGAUAAUUUAUGACAUUAUCCGAGUCUUUAUAUUAUCUCUUAUUUUAUAUUUUUUUUAAAUAUUAUGAUAUUUGGUAUUUACAUCACAAUGUAAAUUUUAUGUGUAUUCGCCAUAAAUUUUAGAAAAUAUAAAUUUAAAAAGUAACGAAAACGGGAAUUUCAUUUAUUUCUCGUUCGUUCUCUGAAUAAAAUAUUGUGCAUCAAAUUGUCAUCAUUUUUUUCUUAAAUAAGGAAUUAAAUAUAAAAUUAUUUUCAUAUCCUUUCCAAUUGAGAAAAUUUUCUCAUUUUCCUAUUUCUUUAAAACUUUCAGCCAUUUUAUGGUGACCGUCAAAUAUCACUAAAAAAGAAAGUAACCUUUAGAUAGAAUAGAGCCUGAGUUGCAUUUAAAUGAAAUUUUUUUUUCUAAAUUUAAUUUUACUUGUUUAACUUAAUCAAUGAAACUUGUUUUCAAGGCAAUUAAUGAUUUAAUCCACGUGCUUUCAAUUUUGCAUUUUUUUUUUUAUUUUGAUUGCUUGGCACGUUGUUGGUGUUGUUUCCUCACGAUACACCAUACACGUUUCAAAUUAUAAGCACUACCGGAACCUAAUUGUUUUUUGACUCGUGCUGAUCAUCAUGCAAAAUUCAACUUUCAACAACCAUUAUUUGAAAACUCGCAUAUUGAUAGUAGUGCUUCAAUUGUUCAUGAAUGUUUUUGAGUAAUUUAUAAUCAUGAAAUAUCCAUAAUGGGUGAAAUUAAAUUUACCAUGCUUCCAUUCAAAUGGCAAUAAGUGCUCAAUUUGAGCAUAAAGUAGUCACACGAGACAUAAAUACUUCAUUUACAUAUGCAUAAUCUAUAGUAUGGUAUGAAUAAUUCAUUUACAUAUGUUUAAUUAAUAGCAUGGUAGUACUUAUUGCAAUGUGCAAUAAAUGUUCUGUGUUGCAUUCUUCAUUAGAGGUUGGUGAAACCAGACCUGGAAUCAGAAUCGAAUUGUAAGUUUUUUUUUUUUUUUUUACCACGAGGUAUCAUGGGAGGACCCCAACUGUAAAAGAUACUUUUAAGUAUGUACCACAACCCAGAUUAGAAGUUUCCGCUCGAACCGAGAGGCACAAAUUCUCCCAACAAAACCCGUAUCAAUCAGUUUGGUUCUUAUUAUUAUUAUUAUUAUUAUUUUCUUUUGGUUUUUUUUACCAUUUCAAAAUUGAACUCGAAUUGCACCAAUCCAAUUGAUUGAAAAAUUCUUAAAACAUUUUUAGAGUCUUUAAAUUCAAUUAUGAUAAUAUUAAUUUUUUUCCUGACAAUUAAUUUAAAUAAAAGUGUUUAAAAUGUACAUAUAAAAAUAUAAAUUAAAACAAAAUCGAUUGUACCAUGUGAUAUGAUAAAAUGCGAUGACUGGUCGUGUUUUAUAUAAAUAUAUAAAAUCUCAUGAUUUUGGAAUGUUAGACCGAAAAACAAAAAAAUGAUGGAUGAUUCAAAUCUCCGAAUCCAAUAAUCGAGGAUUGGUUCCACACGCGCUCUGGAGGCGGGUGAACAAUCGUCUCCCUCGUAUGCAAAAUUUUACUAUGAGUACGCUGACCGAACACAACGGUCAGAAAAGAGUUAAACACAGGGUUCUGCCUAGGCCAGGUGGAUAUUCGCAGCAAUCACGCUGAUCUGACGGCGGAGAUCAUCCUUGAACAUGCUGUUAUCAUUAACUGGCCCACAGUUCAAUUAGAUUAACGGUGAAGAUGAUUUUGCCGUGAAUGCAGAUCGUCCGCGUGGUGAACAUGUGAUCAUUCUGUUUCAUCCGGGUUGGGUCCCCGUUUCCAGAUGCUGACAUCAUCUUGCUUUUCUGAGACGGAAGAAGUGUCUGCUGUUGGAGAGGGUCCCCGACAAUUAGUGCACCUCUUUCGGAGAUAGCGGUGCGGAAACUUGGACUCUUGGAGGGGGGAAAAGAAAAAAAAAAUACCAAAAGCUAUAUCAGCUUACACAAACUGCUCUCGUUGAGAGUCGAACUCAAGACCUCCCGCUUACUAAACGGGUGCUCUAACCAACUGAGCUACGAGAGCUUCCGGUUAAUGGUUCAUUAAAUAAAUAAUAUUCUCUUGCCCUUUAAUGUGUCAUUUUGGGCCAAUCAAGCACUCAAGCUGGCAGGGCUAGCGCAAAUUCAGGCCUUUGGGUCACUCACAAAGAUAGCACCACCCCGUAAGUUUUUGGCGCUUCAUAUUUUAGCUCUAGCUAAUCUUGAAUCAGCACAAAGUCUUUUCGCAUGAAACCUGAUUCUGCCACCAAUACAUUCUUAUCAAGAAAACCAAUUUAGAGGCCUAAUCAAUAGAAAAUACAAUAGUAAAUGUCUCACCUGGAUUAUGUGAUGCCUGUCAUUCAUGACCGCGGUGGUUAAAACAGCCCAAAGUUGCUGCGAAGAACAUGAACCUAGUAAUUACAUCUGGGUGCUUUGUUUUUCCCUCUUGGUGAAUAGAAGAAACUGAUUUGGGGUGAUUGAAGUGAAAUCUAUGAAAAAAAGGGGGGGGAAAAAAAACAAUCAUUAGAAUCACUGCCCUUGAAAAUCAUUACUAGAAUGGAUAUCAACGAACUGCAGUACCAAAAUUCUUUGAAGAGAUUACACAUAAUACCAGGAAGAAUUUUGGGCACAUUUGAUGUGCAUCAUGUUCUCUCAUGGGUUGGGUGCCAAACUGCACUCAUUGUCUUCAAUCCCUUAUUUCACUUCUAUCAAUUCGAUACUAUUUUUUUUUUCUCUUUUUCACUCGACAAUUCAAUUGUUCUUAAUAAUUAUGUUAAUUAUUAGGAUUUAACAAUCAUGCUUUUCUUAUUGGCUCUAGGCUGUACCCAUGUUUGUAGUCCUUUGGCCGUAUUGAUAAAUUCUUAAUUUGCAUGUAAAAUAGCUAGAGAAAUGAAUCCUUAUCCGUUAUAAAUUACAGUUCAUACUUCAUAUCAUAUCCGAUAAGUACAUCACCAAGCUUAACCUAUUAUUUAAAAAAAAAAUUAAAAAAAAAAUAUUAUUAUGGUGAUGAGUCAUUUAUGGUCAUUAGGUAUGUCAUAUAUGUUUAAAAUCACGUCUUUUUCAAUAUCUUGAUUUUACAUUUUCAGAAAGUAAGAUUAUAUCUUAAUGAUGCGUCAAUUAAUUUCAUAAUACGAGUUAUGUCAUGUGUCAUAUUCAUGAUAUAAUUUGAUACAAUCGUGAUUGAUACAAACUUUUUUGGUUCAUGUCAAUUUUUUGUCAUAGAAUUUUUCAUCAUGCCUAAAGUACAAUAAUGUCCGGUAUUCAUAUUUAAAUAUGUAUAUAAUUUAAGUUCUCUUAAGAAUGGGUAACAUCGAGUUUGCUUCAGAAUUUCUGAAUAAAUCUAUUGGAGUGAACAUAACAAGCUAAACUAACUAAAUUAAUUUCAGGUUGAUUUUUUUUUUUAAAUUUGUUGUUCAAUUUGAUUCUGUAUCUUUUUGCAUAGGCCUAUUCUCUCUUGACAAAUUCAUAUCAACCCAAUGUAAAGGAUAUAACUUAAGGCUUAUUCGUGUAGAUUCAUUAAUAUUUUAAAUGAAUUCGCAUCUAAACACAUGUUAAUUAACCUUUCUCUGGACAUGUUACUUAGACUAAUCAUUACAUUUAUUGUGGUGCUAUAAAACGAUUUCGAGGCAUCUAAAUACAUAGAAAAGUCUCAAUAAUUCAUCUUCCUCAGAAGAUGCUUUGUCCUCCAAUUAGCAAACAAGGGGCAUAAUUAUUAUUAUCACAAAUUAGAAGAUUAACUUAACUUACAUCAGUGCCCUAGAAAAAUGCAAAAGAAGGUAACAAGAAGGAGAAAAAGCACUUUUGAUUGGAGUUAUUAACCACAAAAUGGAAGCAAAAAAAGCACUUUCUAGCAGCUUGUUCUGGUUAAUUAUAAAUAAUUACUUGGCCCUGUCCAUAAUCACAUCAAAUCCCAUCUCAGUUGGGUCAGUUGCUUGGACUUCGUAGUGGAUGCCAUCAAGCACUCUUCUAAGCCCAUCUUUUGAAGUUGCAUAAAGCAUUUUUGCUCUGAUUCUCGACGCUGUCGGGGCCCUGUUCAUUAUAAAAAUAAAAUAAAUUAAAUUAAAUUGACAUGAUUUCUUAGCCAACUGAUUUGAUGCGGAAACUAAUUGACGGCUGCGAUUUACUUUUUAUAAUGAUUAAAAAUUUGGUGGGGUCGAUUGAUGAUUCUUCACUAUGCUUCUGAAUCUGAAAUCACCAAACUUGAUAUUUUACCUAUUUCAGGAAUUGAGGAUGCCUCAGUAGUUUGUAAUCUCAUCAUUUGCGACCAUUUUGGCCUUGUAGCAUAUGUGAAAGUAUUUUCAGAAAAAAAUAAAAUAAAAUGUAUUUAUAUUUAUUUUGUAAAACUUGACUGUAAACUUGAAACUGCUUUAUACAAAAUCACUCUAAAAAAAGCGUUUGUGCAAAAGUGCUUUUCGGCAAAAGCAACUCCGCAAAAGGGAUGGCAAUAAAUCCUAGAAAAAGCAUUCAAUCUUAAAAAAGGAAAAAGAAAAAGAAAGAAAGAAAAAAAAAAAAAAGGAUUGCUACUGCUUCCUUAUGCUUUAAGAAACGUUUUGAACUUAUCUGAAAUUGUUUUUGACAGCAGCGAAAGCACUUAAAAUGAUACCCUUUAUAACAAGUAGCAAAAAAUGUACGUAAAAUAACAACUAUUCUAAGAUCAAAGAGCAUCUAAUAUGAUAUGUGGUACCAAGAGAACAAAAAAUGAGAACGAACCAUGCAAUGAAGAAGAUCUUGCUCUUCCGGCAAUUAUCAACGGUGACAAAGUCGAAAUCAAACACGGCGUAUCGGCAAUCAUCGUCCGGCAAGGACGCCGCGAGGUCUUCGUAUCCUUCGCCGGCGCCGCCGACCUUAUCGACGGUGACCAGUUUGGAUUUCUCAUCAAUCUUGAACACUAUGUACCUGUGCACUUUCUUCCAUUUCAUCUCCAUGAAUGAGUUCUUGCACUCAUCGGCCACCCACAUUCCCGUUGUUGCCUGAAACAAAAAACAACCCGAAAACAGAAUCAUGAAUUUGAUCCCAAACUUGAAUGGCAAGGUUAGAAGCAUUAAAAGGAAACUUAAAUCACAAAACUACCAUCUUGAAAGCCAUAGCCAUUGUUGCUGAAAUCUUUUUGUUUCUCAGUUGUUAUUAUAAUUGAAGCUUGGUUUGCAAAUGAUAGCGUGGCAUUUGGUCUCAUAUAAAGAUGUGGAGUGUUUAAAGGCCACUGAAGUUUAUUAAUAUUACAAGAUUGGCCCUACUAGAUCUAUGUUGUGCAUUACUAUUAUUAUAUUAUCAUUAGGAACAAUUAACUUUUUUUAAGGCAAAAAAUACAGUAUUCUUGUUUAUUUGAGUGAAAUCUACAAUUAAGAUAAUUACAAAGGGGAAAGAAAUGAGUUGGCAUUAUAAAUGUGCAUGUAAAUUUUGAAUACCUACUUGGUUACAUCACUUUACUGCAUUAAAUUUAUUGCUAUAAUAAGUAAUCUUUGUUAUAGUAUUUGAUGCUUUAUAUGUCUCUAUCCAACAACAUUCCAACUUUGUAAUUACAGUAGCACAUACAUUACAUAAACUUUUAUCGGUUAUGACUAUACACAUAUUCAAUACUCAAUUACUCACAUCCUAUUUAAGUAAUUAACCAGGAGUUGUUAACUUUCUUUGGUUACACUCUUGCUAAUGUUAAUUACUCUCUAUACCCAAGUAGCAAUCUUAUCCCAAUUACCCAUCCUUUUCCAAAUCAUUUCCUCAUCGAUUUUACGAUUUUGUCAAAUGAUGCAUGUAUUUAUUCUACUCAUUACAAAAUUUAUAAUAUAAACUCGUACAUUUGAAGGGUCAGUUGACUUUGUUGUAAUGAAGAAAUAAUUAGUUAUAAAAAAAAAGGUACUGAGUGUUAAUGGUUAGGGAUUAAAAAAGUGAUUUAUCAACUAAUGUGCAGUUACCUACGAGUUCACUAUUAAUAAACUUAUUUUAACACAAAGGUAAAAUUUAGAAUAGCAUGUCCAGGAACAUUCCCUAUGCAGAAAAUACGAUGGUCCCAUCUCGGAUCACACACUUACAUCCCCAUCUCUCUAUUUUUCUGUUCCUUGAAAGAGUCUUUGCUUGAAAGCAAAGUAAAAGAAGAAGAUAAGCACUUGUAUGAGACAUCAAAACAGAAGAUGGGUUAAAGGCCAAAGAAUAAUAUACAUAAAAUGUAUACAGUUAAAAGCUUUUCUUGGUAUAGAUGAGUCAAUGCAUCUACACCAAUCGCAUUUACUUGUACAGGUUCUGUGGCCGACUUGGUUAAUAUCAAUUCUUUGUAUAUAAUUUUCAAGACUCCAUAUCCCCAUGCUUGAGUUUUCCCACAAGUUUGUCUAAGCAUAUCUGAUAACAAUCCCAUAAAAUAUAAUUCCACGUGGAUUUAGCUAAUGUUGGAGAUAAGUGUGUGCGAGAAAGUACAAGCACUAAAAUCUAGCCAAAUUUGGAAGCACGAGAAGAAAUAUACGUGUAAAGCGUGACAUGUCCCUCAAGUGGGUGGGUCUCCUUAGCUGAAAACACGACCCAUCUCUAUGAGGCCGACGUGGAGUUUUUAGAAUUGAAGCCUCUAAUUCUCACCGGGUGUUUGUGAUUGUGGCCAAGGAAUGUGAAUAGAAUUAGAUUUGUUUUGGUGGGUUUUGCCAGUUAGUUCUCAACUUCUUGUUAAUGGAAGUUACGUAUUCGGUGGUGCAGCUUAAUCAUCUUAAAGCAAAAUGCGAAAAUCAUAUCUGGGGUUGUUUGAUUUGUAGCCUAUCAUGAGAAACACAAUGGUCCAACAUUAGUAGCUAGCCUUCUUGGGAUUUGUUCACGUUGCUACCCGUGCCUGAAUCAAAUCAUCGACCUAUUAUGGAAAAUGCAGAGGUGAAAGAAAUUUAGCCUAGCCUACCCUAUUACUUAAUAGAGGGCAGAUAUACAAUACAACGCAUAAGAGCCAAAACUUAGGGGGUCAAGAAAGAACGGGGGAAAAUUUUGAGAAUUAAAAUGGAAAAGGUUAUACCAUCCAAUAGUGGAUUGCACUCUCUCUUUGACAAGACCGCAGAACCGGCUUGUGACUAGCACAUUUCGCCAAACAAACUCUUAAUUAUUACACAUAAUUGAGCUCGUUGAUCGAUUACCGCAUUAGCCCUUUUUUUUGUUUUGUUUGCUUCACUCGUCUCUCAUGUGUCAAGCCUGAAUUCUUCAGCUUCAGCCAGAAACUAACUUAUGACAGAGAGAGAGAGCAAUGAAAAUAUGAAAUUACUGGUGACAACUGCCCAUGAUUUUGAGCUAAAAAAAUUUGGAUUAAUUUCAGCUUACCAUCCUCAUAAAUUAACUAUAUUUAAAUCACUCCCUUAUUUUUAAAAACUUUAAAUUAUCCUUAUAACAAAAAAAAAAAGAGGUGAAUUGGCAAACUAUUUUUGCCUUCUUAAAAAGAGGGAAUCAACUGAGAUGAUGAUGAUGAUGAUGAUGAUGAUGAUGAUAAUAAUAAUUUUAAAAUAACCAAUUCACAAAAUGAUAAAUCAAGAUUACCAAAAUUUUUGUAGCUGCUGGCAUUCAGCCGACCCAGUGCUAAUCAAAUCAAUUAUCAAAUAAUCACCUCAGAAACGUAAAGUGAGUCGUGGAGUUUAGGUCAUUAAACCCAUCUGUUACUAUUUUCUUUAAAAGCGAAGAUAAGGCAUAACGCCGAUAUAGUCAUGGAAUUCAAACCUUCGAGACCUGCAAAUGUACUUUAGAACAGAAAGCAACAAUAUUUUUCAUCAAGGUUCAACUGGAACCUCCCGAGGUUCCUUUUACAUCUCUUCUUGUUUUGACCACUCGAGAAACAUGAGAGUUUCCUGGAUACAAAGCAACUAAGUAGCAGGAAGAGCUGGAUUCUGAAGUUAAAGCCUUGGCUUGAAGAUUCAGCAGUAUCACUAAUGCCAACUUCACUUAUCAUCCUUUGGGGGUUCAUCUUCUUUCUUCUUCUGUUCAGAUGACUAAAAUUUAAAUAUGAAAGAAAGGAAUAAGUACCCAGACGCAACAUGAAUUAUGGAUAACUGGUAAUUUGGUAAAAAGCACUAAAACAGAAAAUACACACAUGUACACACUAAAUCAACUCGUCCUUGCAAGUUUAAGUAUAGAGGUUUCAAGGACACACCUCAGGUUGACCUUGAAGAGAUGCAAUCAGAUCUUUCACCGAUGGAUCAUUUGGGUCAACUCCUGGAAGCUGCAAAACCAAUAACACGUCAGGACAUAUUCAUAUGCCACAGUUUGCUGCAUGAAGUUCAUCAACAUAGAUGAAAGUACACUUACUGAUGUAAGGAUGGAUGACACAAAUGACUGAUCCCCUAGCACCUUGCUCAUAUCUGAUUGGUUUGAUGGAUCUUUUGUAUCAUCUUGCAUGGACAUUUGGAGAGCUGCGAGCAAUAAAAUAAAGGGAUGGAUUAAUACAUAUAAUUAAUAUAAAUUUAGAAUUUUGGAAGCUUUUGAGAAAUCAGACAGUCAUGCACAAGUUUGACAAUAAUCUCAAACAUGACAUGCCAGUUCGCAAGGUCUGCAGAAUUCUUUGAAGUCAAUCUCAUGAUGACUAGGGUGAUACAUAUAAUGAGAGCUUAAGAUAGGAGUUCCAACAGCAAGACAAGAAAGCCACUACCAAAGCCGUGCAAUUACAAAAUAAAGGUUGUAUGUGUAUGGGUAAGCUUUUGUUCAAGGAACAUGAUUCAUCCAAUCCCAUUAUUUGGCGAUUUAAGAGUUAUGCAUAUUAGUUAAGAGUUCAGAAAUCCAAAGCAAACCAAGCACAAAACAUUACCAUACAGACAUACAAGUUGCCCCACACUAACUGCUUGUAAACUAAAAUUAUCCAAAACCUUGAAUUCCUCAUCUUAAAAUUUCCAAGACAGACAGGAGUACAAAUAAACCAAAUACCCGCAAAGAUUGAGAGAACCUAAUUUAGGGAUGUUUUUUAGAUCCACAAGGGCUGGACUUCAAAAUAGGUGAUUGAAGUUUGAACCCACAUACAAGUGUCAAGUGUCAAGUUGAAUGCAUAGGCGAUGACAACAACAAAGCAACACAAAUAAUUACACAGCCACUAGUAAAUCAAAAAGCCCCAAUAGAAGUAGACAUACCCAAGGCCAACUCCUUAUCCUCAUCAGUCGCUUUUGACGUAUCAGCAUCAGCCAUGGAAGUAUCAGAUACAGAAGUACCCAUGGACAUUGCAAAAGCCCUCUCUAGCAAAGAUUUCUCUUCAUCCUGUCACAACAGUGUUCAGAACAGAUCUCAAAUGAAAGGGUUGUUCAUGCUAUAUAAUUUUUUUUUUAAAUGUUAACGCCUGGAAUUAAGAAUAAAUAACACACAAAAUACAAGUGCAAAAGUGACACUAACCAUUGGAUCAGCAGUUUUCUCAGUUGUUUCUGCUGCUGUAUUGUUAGUAUUGUCAGUCAUCGUUGCAUCCUGUGAGUUGGAUAAUGGCUCCUCCUCUUUCCCUUGUCUGGAAGCUUCAUCAGCAGCCCUUUUGGCAGCAGCUUCUUGCCUUGCUCUCUCCUCUUCCAUGGAAACCCUAAGGGCAAGAGCCAGUUCAGGGUCAAUGUUGGGGUCCACACCAAAAUCGAAGUCAGAAACUCCACCAGCUGCAGCUGCCGCUGCUGCUGCAGCAAAGCCACUUCCUCCUUCACCAUCAGCAGUGAAUACAGGUGAGCUGCCAGAGGAAUGGAAAAGCAUGUAAGUUGAUAUAUACACUAAUAAAGUAGAGGAGUUUGAUAGGAUCCACCUUAUUUUUCAAACAACGAUAUGUUACAUCACUUUUGUCAUAGCUCAAUAUGGUAAUAAUCCAUCUUUUGAGCUUUCUAUUAUUAAAAGCAAAAUUUUUCCAGACCACUGAUUUUAUAAAUAUUGUUGUUUCCCCACUUAAAUUUUAUACUAGCUCAUUUGUUAUUUAGUAAUUAAUUCAGACUUUAACUUUCUAGUUAUUUGAAAUAAUACUAGUCAAUUUCUACAUUUUGCCCCAUAAAUGGAACUGAGGCCGCAAGGAAAAUGGGAAAAUGUCAUACCUUAUAAGUACAUCAGAAAGAGCAUUUGGACCAGUAGGAACAUGAACUAGAUGACUACUAUCAUUGUUAUUAACUGCAGCAAGAAGUGCUUCCAAUUUCUCUGGCUUCCCAUCAUCAUCUUCACCAAAAUUAACAAUAUCAAUAGCCACACUGUUCUUCUUCAAUUUCUUCCCAAUCAUCUCCAUUACCUUCCUAUCAUACUUAACAGGACUGCAAACACGGGGCAAAAAAGAAAGUCAAAUGUCAAUAAGCAUGAACAAGCAAGUAAAAGAGCCAGCAAAGCAUACCUUCCAGCAAAAACUAUAAUCCUUUGACGCUGGUUUUUGUUCUGCCGAUGCUUAAGAGCCAACUGAGCAACCUGGAUUCCUGCCGCUAUGUUCAUCUCACCCCCAAUAUCAAGUUCUGCACCAUAAAGAAGAAAUGAGGAGAAAAAUUUUAAUAUCAAACACCUAAGAAAAGAUGAGAGAAUGGUCAUAAUACUCAAUCCAUUAAACGGAAAGUGCAUGCAAAUUGAAGUUGCUUAUAUCUACUAAUGGCGGCAAUGCUUCAGAAAAAAGUGAAAAACUGCUAGACCUAGAAUUAAAUUUCACAUUCCUUCUUUGAUAAGCACAGAAGGAAACAUCAAGCACUUGCCUUAAAAGCUAAACCCCCAGUUCAUAUAGGUUAUAGUUUAUACCCAUAAAUUGUUUUGAGACAGAAUGCAUAUAACUCUAAAUUUUCAAUCAACAAACCCAAAAAAUUGUGACGAAAAUCCUAACCACAUAGUUCAAGGUCAAAGAUUUGUUUGUCACUUUGUUUAGCAUUCAAAACCCUCGUAGACAUUAGACCCAAAGACAAACUCCUGCUAAACCAAAUUUUUCUGAUUUCUAAUUUCUACCAUUACCGAACAUACAUAAACAGCACAGCACAACCUAGUUGUAAGAACCCAAUUAUGAGCUCACAUGAAAUAAACUCAUCAAAAACUCGAUCACAAUGAAUGAAUAAACAAAUAAAAAAACAUACCAUGCAUGCAAGCUAAAAUUUUCCCAAGAUCAGUUGUAGGAGUAGUCAAAACACGAACCCCUUUGCCACCCAUCGUCAAUAUCCCCACGGUAUUCUCCGGGUUCGACUAUUAAAAAUGGAACCACAAAAAAUAAUAAUAUUAAUAAUAAAUAAAUAUCCCAUCGUCAAUAUCCCCAAUUUUUCUUAACAAAAGGAAAAAUCCACAAGAGAUAGUAACAUAAUAAUGAAUUUUACUUGUGUUUUGGCUCCACAAAUAAGACUAACGGCGUCGGCUUGAGCUCGUAAUCGUGACGGAGAGUAAUCGCCGUUUCGCAUCCAUUCCGAAUUGUCAAUGCAUAUCAUAGUCGCCUGAUUUUAUUUCAAAUUUGAAAACAAUUGGAUCAAAUUUUAGAAAAAUUAAUUGAAUAAAAAGUUAAUUAAAGACGAAACCCACCUCGAGAACCAUGGCUUUGAUUGAAUUUUUUAGUACGAGAAGACGAGAGUAUGCAGAAGAGCUUUGAAUCGAUUUUUUAUGUUCAGUUUGGGUUUUGUGAGCUGCUUUGCUUGCGGCAGGGGCUUUGUUGAGUUUGGGGAUUUAAAAAGAGGUCCUUUAUUUUUAGUUUAUUUGUAUUUUUCUCCCAAGAAGCCUAAAAGCAUUUUUAUUAUUAUUUUUUUCAAUUAAGCCGAAAUCCGAAAGAAGAGAUAAAUGAAAACACACAUCCUAACAGAGAAAUUAAUGAUAAAUAGUGAAUAUAAAAUAAGUUAUAAAGUUAAAUAUUUUAAAUUUUAUGCCUAAAUGAUAUGAUAAAGGAUACUCAAAAUUAACAUAUUUCUACAGAGAAAUUAUUUAGAUAGUAUCAUUCCCAUGAAUUUGGCUUAACAAUUUUCGAUCAACUUGAUAAUUAGUCAUCGUAGUUCAAAUUUUGAAAAAGAGAAUUAUAAUUAUUAUCUUUAUUUAAAUUUAUUUUAUUAUUAUACAUGUUUUAUUGACGUGUUUUUUUUUUUUUUUGACUUUUCAUUUGAUAUUAUUUUCAUUUGGUUUCAAAAUCAUACACUUGAACGUUUUAUCCAAUUAAAUUAUAAAUCAUUUGCAACUUAAACGAAUUCAAUAAUCAAUAUACACUUCAAUCACAAGCGAGGUUGGGUAACCAUGCAAACAUAAACCUAUCUGAAGCAAACAACCCGUGUAAAUAUGCACGGCAUAAACCUGCUUCAAAAACUCUGCAUUCUCCGGACACUAGAAGUAGCCUGAAAAUUUUAGCUCUUUAUUGAAAAAAGCCUGGGAAGAAAAGUUUACUGUCCGACAACAGAAGGUAUGCACAAUUUGCCAACUGCCCCGCGGUUCUAACUUAUUGUACACAGAACAACAGAUUAAUAACAACAAAUAGUUCCGAGGUCAAGGAAAUUCAAGAUGGAUAUUUAUACACCGAGAGCUGCGGGAGCAUACGUCCGUCUGUGGUUCCUGCUGAUAGGUAAGUGAACAUAAACCUCGUGCACCUCUGGUUUGUAGACCUCCCCUCUGUCUCUGUCAAUGGCAUAACAGACAUAAACAGUUUCUAUUACAUUGUCCAACACAUGGACAAAGUAACCCAGCACAAAGAUCAGCAGCACAAAUGCUAGGGCAGCCACCAGGUAUGAGUAGAUCCCGAGAUCUCUCACUCCCUUUAAGAUAGCACAGACCUGCUCAUGCAUAUUCAAAGUCAGGUAAAAUGGGAAAACAAACACAAUGUUUAACGCAAAAUGCAGCAAGAACUAGCUUAUGGCAUUAUGGCAAAAUGCAUCAGGGCAAGAGGUACCUAAUCUCAAGAGGCUGAUAUCAAAGCAUGCAUAAUUCCAAUAUAAUAUGCUAGACAGAAUUAGCCAGCCUGACAACAUUCUCACAAGCUAGACCAAAAUCAUCAGCAAUGCAUAUAGAGUAUGACUAAAAACCACCACCACAAAUGAAAUCUUGUGAAGCAUUGAACCUAUACAGAUAUCUCAUGAAAUUAUGGUGUAACAUUUAAUUAUAAAAAAAGACAUUUAAUAACCAAUUACUAGACAAAAAUGAUUGGGUAGAUAAAACCUGUUCGAUGUAUUUUUCAUGGAUAAAUGUAGCAGGCCGAAAAUAGACAGAGAUAAGGGCGGAAGGGCUUUUUCUUUUUUUUAUCAACUUCAACCAAUUCUAUUUCUGUUAUAUGGCCCAAUCCGUCCUAUAGAUAUCGAUUUGAAUAGGUAUCUAAGGGUGCCGCCAAUAACUCCGGAAUACGAAUUCCUUUAUUCUCCAUCCAAAAUUAAGAUGAGCAUUGUCAUACAAUUGGAAAAGAAGAGCCACAUACUUCAGCCCUCCUGCAAGGAUUCCUAUCACCUAGGGAUGAAAAUCUAUUUUUGACAACAGAUUAUAUAAGAAUUGAAAUAACAGAGAAAUGAAUAAUCUGCUCACCGCAAUUGUGUAUACAGCUGAAAUGACGAAGAUUAUUCCAGCUAACAAUCUAGUAGAGACAGUCUCCACAAAGACAGCAGAGAGAAGAUUACGCUUUAGAAGCUCAUAUGUCAUCCUUGCAGACGAGCAGUACGCUUCACCAGUUAUUGCCGCAAAGUUGAUAGUGAACUUGUUAAGAAAAUCUACAGCUGACAGUAAUGCAUUAACACAACACCGCAGGAUAAGGUUCACAAAUCCAGGAACAUCUUCUUGUCUUGCACUAUCAACAGCAGCACGAACUAUACGCACCAUACAUAUAAGUAGUCCAGACAGGCAAAUACUGCCAGAGGAGGGACCAAAGGCGUUCCUGCAAGUUUUCACAACAAUAAGAUGAGAGGGAUUCAACGUGUAUAUGUGAUAACCAUCAAAGUUGCUGCAAUUAAGAUGCUUCUAAACAAAAUGAUGACAUGGAACAACUGAGGGAGCGGCAAAAUCCAUAAAAAAAUAAUAAUAAUAAUAAGAGAACAAAAAAAUAAUAAAGAACUACAACUAAAUAUCAUCAUUGAUUCAAGUAAUAUUUUGCAUGACCAAUAUAGGAAACCCUUAAAUUUACUAUUUAACCAAAGAGCUAGCAGGAUGUAACCAAGUUCAAAUAUGUGUAAAAAGUAAAAGAGAGAGGUAAUAACAAAUCUUACUCUUUGAAUGCUACCCCAUCCAAAUGUAUAGCAGCUGAAAAUUGAAAUCUAAGUCUAUUCUUCUAUUGCAAAUCUAAGUUUAUAUACUGGUACAGAAUAAGCAUAAAGCUGACUCACAAUCCCUCUGUACCUAAUUUCUUCAAUUUAGUUUAGGGUUAGACUAUUUUAACUUCAAUUCUUUACUUAAAAUUUUGACACAAAUUUUGAGCCAUUGAUUUCAAGCAAUUCAAUGGUAGAUAUUGAAAAUCAAAGUAGAAUUUAAAGAUUGUUAUUCAUCCACCAUCGGAUUGGUUGAGCCCAAUGGUUCAAAAUUUGUGCCAUAAAAUUUAAAUUAAAAUAGCCUGAUCCUCAGUUUAUUGUUAUCCAAUGCCACAUACUGCCUGUCUCUAUGUAGUAUUUAAACUUCAUUAUCUUCAGGCAUGCAUUUAAUUUCUUUAUUGUCAAAUGUCAUAGAACAUAUAAAAUGAUACAGGAAAUGAUUCAAAUGUAUUUAUUAUUGCAUCCAGAAUGCAUGUGAAACAAAAUUUAAAUCUGCUUCAUGCAACCAAAAAAACGAAUUAUUAUAACAUCUAUCCAAACAUUAAAUCUGCAACACCAUGCCAUAGAGUUAAUUGCCUAGAUUAUUCAAUACAUCUAUUUAUUUGAUCAUUAACUCUAAGAGCAGUUGCUACAAAUUUAAGAGAAUGACAAUAAGCUAGUACAAUGAAUCAGGAAAUUAUUCAAAUCUAUUCAUUAUUGCAUCCAGAAUGCAUGUGAAAAACAAUUUGAAUCUUAUUCAUGCAAUCUAAAAAUGAAUUAUUAUAACAUCUAUCCAAACAUUAAAUCUGCAACACCAUGCCAUAGAGUUAAUUGCCCACAUCUAUUUAUUUGACCAUUAAAUUUAAGAGCAAUUGCUGCAAAUUUAAAAGAAUGACAAUAAGCUACAUUUAAACCAGAUAAACUCAACCAAGUUGAAUAGUGAUAAAAAAAUCAGGAAUUACCUCAAAGAACUUCUUAUACUCCACUUAGGUUUUGUAUCCUCCUUCGAAAAAUACCACUGUGCAAUAGUCCCACUAAUAACAUAAGCCUUUGCUUCCACCAUUGAAGUCAAAGACCACAACAUGGUUAGAAUUGCCAGUGCAAAGUACGCAGGCUGCUGUACGGCCAAGGCGGAUGUACGGUACAGCAGACCUAUUAUUUAAAAAAAAAAUUAAAAAAAAAAUAUUAUUAUGGUGAUGAGUCAUUUAUGGUCAUUAGGUAUGUCAUAUAUGUUUAAAAUCACGUCUUUUUCAAUAUCUUGAUUUUACAUUUUCAGAAAGUAAGAUUAUAUCUUAAUGAUGCGUCAAUUAAUUUCAUAAUACGAGUUAUGUCAUGUGUCAUAUUCAUGAUAUAAUUUGAUACAAUCGUGAUUGAUACAAACUUUUUUGGUUCAUGUCAAUUUUUUGUCAUAGAAUUUUUCAUCAUGCCUAAAGUACAAUAAUGUCCGGUAUUCAUAUUUAAAUAUGUAUAUAAUUUAAGUUCUCUUAAGAAUGGGUAACAUCGAGUUUGCUUCAGAAUUUCUGAAUAAAUCUAUUGGAGUGAACAUAACAAGCUAAACUAACUAAAUUAAUUUCAGGUUGAUUUUUUUUUUUAAAUUUGUUGUUCAAUUUGAUUCUGUAUCUUUUUGCAUAGGCCUAUUCUCUCUUGACAAAUUCAUAUCAACCCAAUGUAAAGGAUAUAACUUAAGGCUUAUUCGUGUAGAUUCAUUAAUAUUUUAAAUGAAUUCGCAUCUAAACACAUGUUGGAGAAGAUGAUGACUCGUAGAAACACACGAGCUUGUUGGGGUCUUCUUCGCUGCUGCCCAUUUGAGGGAGAAGCUAAUAAGCUAGAAGCUAGAAGCUGGAAGCUGGAAGCUGGAAGCCGAAAGCAGAAGCAGAAGCUAGAAAGUGGAAGUGAUUUUCUCUUCGUGGAUUUUGAUGAGGAGAAGAUACGUCUGUGUUCUUCGUCUUGAGUUGGAACCUGGAAGUGGUGAGUGGCAGGUGUCCGUCUAAUUUUCGUCCAUUUUAUUUUCGACAAACAUUCUUUUGUCGUUUCACACAAGGCCAUUGAUAUUUGGGGUAAUUAUUUAUUAAAUUUGAAAUCUUUGUAAUUAACAAAAUUAUAAUUUAAUUGUUUUCUCUUUUCACUUACAUUUGUAAUUAGAAAUUUAUAGCAGCUUUAGAUAUCCUUCUAAAUAGCUAGACGAGAUUCAACUUCUGCUAAACAUAUGCGGAAGACACAAAUUCGAAAAAUGAUUUAACAUCUAGCUACAAGAUGGUUCUCAAAUUUAAUUGGUUUUAAUUUAAGAGAUUAAUAUUAAAAAACCAUUAAGUGAAAAGCAUUCAUAAGAUCCGAGUUUAGGUUAUAUGCUUUUACUUCGGAAUGUUUAGAGAUAAGGCCAAACCUUAGUGUAAAACAAAAAAUUAG
rnacentral:lncRNA from 1 species